rnacentral:lncRNA from 1 species
UUUUUUUACAUGUUAGAUUUGAGUUAUCAAUAUAAUAAGUAUACGCAUAUUUAUUAUUUGAUUCACAUAUUUGAAAUAUGUUCCAUAUCAUAUUUAAGGUGGUACUUAAGCUCUAACUAGUGAAAUGAUUUAAUUGAUAUAAUAUUAUUUUUUUGAGAACUCAAUUAAUGGUUGGGGAGGGGUUAUUGGUGGUUCUAGUCACAUUUUAACUAAAAAAAUAAAGAAAUCAAUUAAAGAGUUAAUUGCACUAAACAUCCCCAAACUAUAUUUUAAAUUGGUCCUCAAACUUCAAAACAUUCUAAUUACAUCCUUAAACUAUCGAUACCAUAUCAACCAUGUCAUUAUAUUAUUGAAACCAUUAAUUUAACUAUUAAAUGACACUAAAAAUGACAUAAUUUAAAAUGAAAAUUGUAAAAACUAUAGUUUUGAAGUUUUUGAAACUUUUACAAAAACUAUCAUUCACUCCCUUUUUUAAUUUUAUUUUAUUUUUAGUUUUUAAUUUAAAAGUUACGCCACAACAAUUUGUUUUUCUUUAAAAAUUUUUAUUUUAAAAUUGUAUCACAUAAAAGUUUAAUAGUUAAAUAAACAGUUUCAACAAUAAAAAGACAUGAUUGAUAUAACAUCGAUAAUUUAAAAAAUAUAAUGAGAAUAUUUUCAAAUUUUAAAAACUAAUUUAAAUUGAGAUAUUUUAAAAAAAUGUUUAUUACAAUUAAUUCUAAUUAAAAUAUUUUAAAGAUUAAAAAGAAAUUAAAAUCCGGAUAUAAAUGCAAUUAGCAAGUUUGAGGGUUGGGGCUCUACUUGCAAGCCCCUGCAACGCCCAUAAACUCAUUGUUUACCAAGUCAAAGCUUAGUAGUCAACUUUUUCAGACCCUAGAAAAUGAAAUGAAUUUUGGCAUUACAUGAGGAGGCAUUUUUAAUAAUUUAUUAUAUUAUUAUAUGUCUCAAUUGUACUAUCAUAUGUGCCUUGAAAACAUAAAAUUCUAUUUUAGCAUUUCAUAUUAUAAUUUCAUAUAAUUGAGUUAGCAUUUCUCAUAAUACUCUUUCCAAUUUUUUCUAUUUUUAGCCCACGAUUUCCAUUCCAACAAUACUUUGGCAAAAACUUCUAUCAUUUUUAUAUAAGUUUACGUUAUUUUAAAAAAUUAUAAUUUAGUUAUUUAUUUAUUCGAAAGCUUUUAUUUAAGUUAUUAGUUUGUUGAGAUUUUCUUUUUAAAAAUCUAGCUAGUGAGCUCUAAGCGACGAUUCAACAACCAGUAGGGUGAAUAAGUACCAAUCGUCAAAUAGAAGAACAUACUUAGAUCUAAGUAGAUUUGACGUUUAGUGACGAAGAUCAAAUAAUAAAACUAUUUUUAUUUAUGAUUAAUAGAUUUGUGACAUUAAAAGUUGUUUCAUGAAACAAAAACUUGAGUUGUAGAAGAGGAGGGGAAUGAGAGCUUUCGAUUAGUCUAGACGGUGCAAACAGAGAAUGGCAUACAUAAGCUGUUUUAACAGUCCAUUAACUCAAAUGAAAACAUUCAAAUAGUUUAGUGAUCAUUUUGUAACUUUUUGAAGUUGAGUGACCAAAACAUAAAUUUAUUAAUAAUUUAUUCUGUUGUUUGAUAGAGUUUCAGUUGUUUUGAAAGUCUGAGAGUGGGAGUUACUGGGAGAAAAAGAGGGGAUUUAAGGAUAAUGACUUUUAUUUUGAAAAUUUCUCUCUUUCUUGGAAAAAUUGACGUUCUUUCCUCCUCCUCUGCCGUCUUUCUUUUUUCUUUUCCAAACGCAAUAUUUUUUUCUCUUUUCGUUACUCAUUCUGACAAAAUCGUGCUUCCUUGUCGCGGUAUUUCUGAUUGUGCACUCUUCGUUUGGUAAGUGGUGGUGAGUUUUGUCGAGGAGGGAGCCUUUGUUAUUCUUUUUGGCCUUGUCGAAUUCUCUGUUAAUGUGGUACUUGUGUUUUGGUAGCAACAAAUCAUGAAAGUAAGGGCUUUCCUCGUUCGAAAUUGUAAUCGAAUCGUCGAGGUAUUAAAGUAAGUGUUGGAUUUCGGUAUUGGUUUCGUAGUCAUGAUUUAGUUGUGAAUUAAGUAUGAUUCUAAGUUUUGGGUUGUUAAUUUUUAGGUUUUUGGAGGCUUAGGAGUGGUUUUGUAUUGAAAUGAUACCAAGCGUGUACCUGAAACAUAAAAAAACUAUUAUCGGCAAAAGCCGAAAACCUUUGUUGUCGAUGACACACGGGCGUGUGGUCAACCGUGUGGAAUGCUGUAUGCGAAGACACGACAGUGUGGUUGAGGAAAGCCAUAUGCGCAACACAAGGCCAUAUGGUGGUUCGAGUGUGGCCAUGUGGGCCAUACGGGCUAGGCCAAGUUGGGUGUAUAGGCCAAACGGGCGUGUGGGCCUACAUGGGCAUAUCACACAAGCAUGUGGAUUUUGGGCCAGAUUGUGUGGGCCACACGGGCAAGGCCAAUCUAGGCGUAUGGGCCACACGGGCAUGUGGGCCCAUUAUACUAAAGUUUUACAAAUGGUCACACGAGUCGUCCUAAUCAACUGUGGGCCUACUAUAGGGUCAGUAAAUGCUAGUUAAACCCUAAAAUGAUAUGAUUUAUUAGACUGAAUUAUUGUAUUGAGCAUGUUUAUGUUACGUGUAUCUGUAAUCUAUUUAUGUAAGCAUGUUAAGCAUGUUUUAUCUGCUAAUUCUGUAUGUAUGCUCUAUAUCUGUUUUGGGGUGGGGUUUGUAUAUGUGGAGAAAGUAUUUUGAACGGCGUUAAAUGCCUAUUUUCUGGCAGUUUGGCUGCAUAUUCUAUCUGAUAUGUGUCUUAAUGGCAUGCCUUGGUGUGUAAGGAUGGGUGAGUGUUUUUAAUCCUACAUGGUGUGAUGGGAUGGUCGAAGAUGGUGUGUAGAGGAUAGGGGUAAGAUUUUACAUAUAUGUAACUGAUUCUGUCACUGUAUCUGAAAAUGAUAUGAGUCCGUAUCUGUAUCUGUUUCUAGUUAUGUACAUGAUGAUUAUAUGCUUGCAUGUUUAAUUCUGUUGGGUUACACAUUAAGUUUACGUAAACUCACAUCUUUUUAAUUUUUCUGUCAGGUAAUCUACAGUCUUAGGUGAAUCAGUGCAGUAGAGACUCAACGGUGGCCACUUUAUCGUAAAACUGCUAAAACUUAGUAUUUUGGUUAAUUUAAAUUUUGGAUUGUUUUAAGAGUUGUAAUUUUUGGGGACUCUUUGGACUAUUGGUUUUUAACUUGACUUUAGAUUUGAUCGCUUGUUAUUUUUCAUGCUUGAUAAAUUGCUUAUGGAAAAUUUUUUUACAUACAAACGUGAUUUUCCUAAAAUUACAAAUCGAAUUUCUAAAAUCUAUUGGUUUGAUAAAAUUCUACUAUAUUAAGUUUUGAUAAAAAGAUUAAUUAAACUGUGUUUUCGAUUAAACUUAGGAAUUAUAAAAUGGUAAUGCUCUGACGAGACAACUUCGUUUUCAAAACCUAUUUCAUGUGACAUAACCAGAUUCGGCCAUAACGUCUAGGCUGAGUUUGGGGUGUACAUUUAGUGGUAUCAGAGCUAGGUUUCAAAACUCAACUGUAAAUUUUGGGUUCCAAAAUUUUAUUUUAAAAGUAUUGAUUUUUAAAUAAUCUAAAUAAAAUAAGGAAGUAUAUGGUACACCGAGUCUCCGAUGCCGAUCUUGUAAGUAUUUUCAAAACUUAGAUAGUUUAUUUUGAAAAUACUGUAGAUCGUACCUUCUGAGACUGUACUGAAAUAGUUAGAGACUGAAACUUCUGAAAACAUCUCUAAACUUUUGAUAAUUUAUGCUUAAAACAUCUGUUAAUAAAUAUUUGAACUGAUGCAUAAAACUUUAUAAUGUAGAUAAAACUCGAAAUAGACAAUGAGUGUAAGUGGAAUCCGCAGACGUGGUACUCGUGGCCGUGGAAGAAGCUGUAGAGUGGCUUGAGCUGAGUUUUCCUCACUGGGCAGUAUGUUGAAUUUGGAUACGAGUGAGACACCAGUUUUACCUACUACUGUGACUGGGUCUCAAUGCUGUUUGACUGGGGACAACGCACUAUCUCAGGCCAUGCUGAGGAUUUUAGAAAGGGUUGUUGGACCCCUUUCUGGUUCUGGAGACAUUGGGUCGAAAACUGAACGACUCCAGUCUAAUGGUGCUGAGUUAUUUAAGAGUGUCACAGGAGUCGCCUUUAAUGUAGCCGAAUAUUAUUUAAAGGCCACGAAGAGGAUUAUGAAUAAUUUGGACUGCACUCCUGAGCAGAAACUGAAAGGUGCAAUCUCUUUACUUUGCGAUGAGGCGUAUCAGUGGUGACUAACGGUUGAAGAGGGUACUCAGCCUGUUCAAUUGAGUUAGAACUUCUUUAAGACCACCUUCCUAAGUAAGUACGUGGGGGCGAGCUAUGUUGAUGCUCGUAGGCGUGAGUUUUUGAAUCUCAUGCAAUGUGACAGAUCUGUGGCCGAGUAUGAGGUCGAAUUUUUGAGAUUGAGUUACUACGCUCGAGGCUGGUAGCGUUUGAGUACGAGAGAUGUGUCCUGUUUGAGGAUGGUUUAAGAGAUAACUUGAGGGUCUUAAUUACUCCACAGAGGAAGCGAAAGUUUGUUGUACUAGUGGAGAAAACUAAGACCACUGAGGAUGUUAAAUGUGUGAAGCGCCAGAAUAGGGAUUGAGAGAGAGGCAAAAACAAGUGGGAGUCGGAGCCCUCUAGUUCUGUUCCGAGGCUUAAGAAAAAGGUAAGAUCUAAUAGGCCAGUUAGAGUGGGGGCCCCUAUUGCUCCUACUGAGUUACAGCCAUGCAAUGAUUGUGGUAGGCGCCAUCCGGGCGAGUGUUGGAGUAGGAUUAGGGCUUGUCUGAGAUGUGGGUUUCUCGAGCACCGUAUUAGGAAGUGUUCCCAGCGGGCAGAUCAGAUACAACCUUCAGUUCCAGGUCCUGUGCAACCUUAGAGGACAGUUCAGCAGCCACCUAGGCGCCGUGGGCAAGUUAGGCGUGGUAACGGUAUGGGUCAUGGAUAGAGAGCACUGGACAGAGGUGCUGGACAGACUGAGGCGAGGCAGUUUGUACUUGUUUAUACUGCUUGAUGUCGAGAGGAUAGAGAUACUCCAGAUGUUAUCACUGUUACGUUCUUUAUAUUUAAUGUACCUUAUACUGCUCUGAUAGACAUAGGUUCUGCAUAUUCCUAUGUAGCUAGUACUGUCUCUAAAAACUUGAGGGUUUCCGUGGAGAGCACUUCUAGUGAUGUUACAGUUCUAAGUCCAUUGGAGCAGUCGGUUCAGUUUAGUAAACACUAUAAGGAUGUUUCGUUAGAGGUUAAAUGGAUUAUUUUCCUGGCGAACCUGGUGGAGUUAUCGCUUGAGGAGUUCGAUAUGAUUCUAGGUAUGAACUGGUUAUUCAAGCACCAAGUUAGUUUAGACUGCGUUGCUAAGAGGGUCGUACUGAAAACUGAGGAUGAUAAGGAGGUAGUUGUGAUCAGUGAGCGUCAAAAUUAUCUGUCAAAUGUGAUCUCCACUCUUGUGGCUGAAAAAUUUGUCCAGAUAGGAUGUGAGGUGUAUUUGGCUUACGUUAGUGUUUCUGUUUCUAGGGACUCUUCUGUCAAUGAUAUCAGAAUUGUAAGAGACUUUUCGGACGUCUUUCCUGAGGAAUUACCAAAUCUACCUCUGAACCGAGAGGUUGAGUUUGAGAUUGAGCUUCUUCUGGCUACAGUUCUGGUAUCCAUCGCUCCCUACCGUAUAGCAACGAAGAAGCUUACAUAAUUUAAAGCUCAACUACAAGAUCUUCUAGAUUGUAGAUUCAUCUUCCUUAGUGUGUCUCCGUGGGAGACACCAGUUUUGUUUGUUAAGAAGAAAUAUGGGACCAUAAAGAUGUGCAUCGACUAUCGGUAGUUGAAUAAGUUGACUGUGAAGAAUAAGUAUCCGCUUUCAAGGAUCGAAGACCUGUUCAAUUAGUUCCAAGGGGCUUCAGUGUUCUCUAGGAUUGAUCUUCGAUCUGAGUAUCAUCAGUUGAGGGUUAAAGAAGCUGAUGUUCAUAAGACUGCAUUUAGGACUCGUUAUGGGCAUUACAAGUUCCUAGUUGUACCUUUUAGUUUGACGAAUGUUUCUGCUACAUUUAUGGAUGUGAUGAACCGAGUAUUUUAGUCUUAUCUGGACCAGUUUAUCGUGGUCUUCAUCGAUGAUAUUCUGGUAUACUUUAAUACCGAGGAUGAGCAUGAUGAGCAUCUUAAGGUUGUGCUUCAAAUACUCUGAUAAAAAUGACUUUACGCUAAAUUGAGCAAGUGUGAAUUCUGGUUGCAAGAGAUAACUUUUCUGGGGCAUAUGGUUUCUGUUGAGGGGAUUCGUGUGGACCGUCGAAAGAUUAAGGAUGUGCUUGAUUGGAAACAGCCUAGGUCUGGCGAGAUAUUAUCUGCAGUUUUUCGAGGGGUUUUCUCUGAUUGCAGCUCUAUUGACUAAGUUUCUGCGUAAAUGUGUUCCAUUUGUUUAGACUGAUGCGCAACAAUUGAGCUUUGGGAAGCUCAAAUCUGUUCUGAAUCAAGCUCUUGUUCUGAUACAGCCUGAAUCCAGAAAGGAGGUUGUGGUUUACAGUGAUGCUUCACAUAUUGGUUUGGGUUGCGUCCUGAUACAGGAUGAUAAAGUUGUGGCUUAUACAUUCCGUCAGCUUAAGACACAUGAAGUGAACUAUUCAACGCAUGAUCUUAAAUUGGCUGCUGUGGUCUUUACGUUAAAAAUAUGGAGGCACUAUUUGUAUGGUGAGAGGUGUAUUAUUUACACUGAUCAUAAAAGCCUCAAGUACCUCCUUACUCAGAAGGAGUUAAAUCUUAGGCAGCGUUGGUAGAUUGAGCUGCUCAAGGAUUAUGAAUGUAUAACUAAGUAUCACCCUAGUAAAUAUGGUAGGCGACAUUUUAAGCCGUAGAGCGAUGACUGAUUUGAGGGCGAUGUUUGCUCACCUUAGUCUGUUUGAUGAUGGAAGUCUGUUAGCUGAGUUGUAAGUUAAGCCAACAUGGAUUGAGUAGAUUUAAGAUAAGCAGUUAGGGGAUGAAACUCUGGGUUCACAGUUCUAUCAGAUUAAGAGUGGUACUACUUUUGAUUUUGGGUUGAAUAAUGAUGGAGUAUUAUGUUUUCAUGGAUGGAUUUGUGUUCCAAGUGAUUCGGAUUUGAGUAGGUCAAUUCUGAGAGAGGCAUAUAGUAGCUCUUAUGUUACGCAUCUCGAUGGGAAUAAGAUGUAUCGGGAUCUCCGUGAACUGUAUUGGUGGCCGGGUUUGAAGCAUAAUGUUACUGAUUUUGUUUCUUUUUGUCUGACGUACCAAUAGGUUAAGGCUGAGUACUAGUUACCCUCAGAGUUGUUGCAGCUAGUGAAUAUUCCCUUAUGGAAAUGGAAACAAGUGACGAUGGACUUCAUUAGUAUGUUGCCCUUGACACCCACUAAGAAGGAUUCUGUUUGGCUCAUCAUGGAUUGAUUGACCAAGUUUCCUCACUUUAUUCCUGUUCGGACAGACUACUCUCUACAGAAGUUAGCGAAGCUAUACAUAUCUGAAAUUGUAAGACUGCAUGAGGUUCCAGUGUCGAUUAUAUCUUAUAGAGAUCCUUGCUUCAUAUCUUAAUUCUAGAAGAAGUUACACGAGACUUUGGAUUUGAGAUUGGACUUCAGUAUUGCGUUCCAUCCUCAGACCGAUGGUCAAUCUGAGAAGGUGAUUCAGAUACUAGAGGAUAUGCUUUGGAGUUCUGUGAUUGAUUUAUGAGGGAGUUGUGAGGAUUAUCUGCAGCUGGCUGAGUUCACCUACAAUAACAGUUUCUAGGCUAGCAUUUAAAUGGCACUUUACUAGGCUUUGUGUGGUUGUAAGUGUCGUACUCCACUCUGUUGGACUGAGUUGGGUGAACGUUGAGUGUUGGGCCUAGAGUUGGUUUCGGAGACCAAAGAAAAUUAGACUGAUUCAGAACCGUCUGAAGGCAGUUUUUAAUAGACAGAAAUAAUAUCUAGAUCUGAAGAAGCGUGAUAUUGAGUAUUCUGUGGAGAACUUCGUCUUUCUUAGGGUCUUUCCGUAGAAAAAAGUUCUGAAGUUCGGUCGUAAAGGCAAGCUGAGCCCUAGGUUCAUUGGGCCGUACCGAAUUCUUAAAUGUGUGGGAUCGAUCACUUAUCAAUUGGAACUAUCUCCAGAGUUAGACCGUAAUUAUGAUGUUUUUCAUGUUUUAAUGUUGAGGCGGUAUUGGUCUGAUCCAUCCCACGUUGUCUCUAUUGAGGAGAUCGAUGUUAGACCGAACUUGACUUUUGAGGAGGAACUGGUCCAGAUUCUGGAUUGUGAUAUUAAGGUUUUGAGAAGGAAGUCUAUACCGUUAGUGAAGGUUCUGUGGCAGAAUCAUGACACUGAGGAGGCCACGUGGGAACCUGAGGACUUGAUGCGUCAGUAGUAUCCUCAUCUGUUCUGAUCAAGUAAAUUUUGAGGUAGAAAUUUCUUUUAAGGGGUAAAGUAGUAACGCCCCAAUUAUUUUAUCCAUUCGUUUGUAAAAAUCUGACACAACUGUGUAUCUGCUUCAGCGGUUAAGUGUUUUGGGUGUGGUUGAGAGGUCUCAAGUUCAAGCCCUAGCUUUAGCAAAUUUUGUAUAUUUUUGGAAUUAAGCUCUAUCUCUGUUCAGUGGGCUUAUAUUUAAUUAUUUGUAAAUCCAUAUCAGAAUGAGUCUGUUGGUUCGAGUGGUAAGGGUGUUGGUGUGUUGGAGGUCUUGUGUUAGAUUCCUUUUGCGAGCGUCGGUAUUAAUUUUAGCCUUGCUAUCUGAUAGAGUUUCUUUCUUGGAAAAAUUAACGUCAUUUCAUCCUCUUCCGCCGUCUUUCUUUUUUCUUUUCCAAACGUAAUAUUUUUUCUCUUUUCGUUACUCGUUCUGAUAAAAUCGUGCUUCCUUGUCGUGGUAUUUCUGAUUGUGCGCUCUUCGUUUGGUAAAUGAUGGUGAGUUUUUCCAAGGAGGGAGCCACUGUUAUUUUUUUGGCCUUGUCAAAUUCUCUAUUAAUGUGGUACUUGUGUUUUGGCAACAGCAAAUCAAGAAAGUAAGGGCUUUCCUCGUUCGAAAUUGUAAUCGAAUCGUCAAUUAAAGUAAGUGUUGAAUUUUGAUAUUGGCUUCGUAGUUAUGAUUUAGUUGUGAAUUAAGUCUGAUUCUAAGCAUUGGGUUGUUGAUUUUUAGGUUUCUGGAGGCUCGGAAGUGGUUUCGCAUCGAAAUGAUACCAGGUGUAUACCAAAAACGCAGAAAAACAAUUGUCGGCAAAAGCCGAAAAACCUUGCUGUCAAUGCCACACGGGCGUAUGGUCACUCGUGUAGAAGGCCAUGUGCGAGAACACAGCCGUGUGGUCUUCGAAAGCAUAGUCGUGCGCAGCACACAACCGUGUGGUGGUUCAAGCAUGGCCGUGUGAGCCAGACGAGCUAGGCCAAGUUGGGUGUGUGGGCCUACACAGGCAUAUCACACUGACAUGUGGAUUGUGGGCCAAGCUGUGUGAGCUACACGGGCAAGGCCAAUCUGGACGUAUGGGCUACACGGGCAUAUGAGCCAAUUAUACUGAAAUUUUACGAAGGGUCAUACGAGUUGUCCUAGUCGACUGUGGGCCUACCAUAGGGUCGAUAAUGGCUAACUAAACCCUAAAAUGAUAUGAUCUGUUAGACUGAAUUAUUGUAGUGAGCAUGUUUAUGUUACAUGUAUCUGUAAUCUGUUUAUAUAAGUAUGUUAAACAUGUUUUAUCUGCUAAUUUUGUAUGUAUACUCUGUAUCUGUUUUGGGGUGGGGUUUGUAUAUGUAGAGGAAGUAUUCUGAGCGGCGUUAAACGCCUAUUUUCUGGCAGCUUGGCUGCAUUUUCUGUCUGAUAUGUGUCUUAAUGGUAGGCCAUGGUGUGUAGGGAUGAGUGGGUGUUUUUAACCCCAAAUGGUAUGAUGGGAUGUUCGAAGAUGGUGUGUAGAGGAUGGGGGUAGGAUUUUGCAUAUCUGUAACUGAUUCUGUAACUAUAUCUGAAAAGGACAUGAGUCCGUAUUUGUAUCUGUUUCCGGUUAUGAACAUAAUGAUUGUAUGCUUGCAUGCUUAAUUCUGUUGGGUGACACACUGAGUUUACAUAAACUCACAUCCUUUUGACUGUUCUGUCAAGUAAUUCACAGUUUUAGGCGGAUCAGUGCAGCAGAGACUCAGCGACGGCCACUUUGUCGUAAAAUUGCUAAAACUUAGUAUUUUGGUUAAUUUAAAUUUUGGACUGUUUUGAGAGUUGUAAUUUUUGGGGACUCUCUGGACUAUUGGUUUUUAACUUGACUUUGGAUUUGGUCGCUUGUUAUUUUAUAUGCUUGAUAAAUUGCUUAUGGAAAUUUUUUUUACAUACAAACGUGAUUUUCCUAAAAUUACAAAUCAAAUUUCUAAAAUCUAUUGGUUUAAUAAACUUCUGUUGUAUUAAGUUUUGAUAAAAUGAUUAAUUAAACGGUGUUUUCGAUUAAACUUAAGAAUUAUAAAAUGGUAAUGCUCUGACGAGGCAACUUCGUUUUCAAAACUCAUUUCAUGUGACAUUACCAGAUUCAGCUAUAAUGUCUAGGCCGGAUUUAAGGAGUUACAGUAGUUUACCCUUAUUAUGUUUGUUAUACCCUAACGUCAAAAUUUCUAAAACAAAAAUAUAUUAAGCAACACCAUUAAAUUAUUGUCUGAACAACAAAAUUUGUUGUCUUAAAUUUUAUGCAACGGUUUUGUGAACGCUAUGUAUGCGACCAUUGCCUAAACUCAAAAGCAACACUAAUUUCAUUUUAAACAAUGAUUUAUUUUAAUGUUGUCAUUAGUAUUUUAGGUAACAGUUUUUUAUUGUUAAAUGCAAUAUUUAUUUGAAAGAAAAAUACUAUUUUUUAUGGCUAAUGCAACACUACGUGGUUGUUGCCUAAAGUAAAAAACAACACUUUUAAAUUUUAAGUAAUGGUUUAUUUUAAUGUUGUUGUUAGUAUUUCGCACAACAUCAUUUUAUAGUUACAUACAACGUUUACUUGAAAGAAAAUGCAACAUCUUUUAACCAUUAUUGCAAUGUUACGAGAGUGUAACCUAAAAACGAAAGCAACAUUUUUUAUAAUUAAUGCAACAUCUAUUUGAUAGAAUAGUCUAUAUUUUUUAUAUUUAUUGCAAUGCUAUUUGGUCAUUACUUAAAAAGUAACUUUUUUUUAAAUUAAAGUUUCGAUUAGUUGGGCUCAGCAAUACGAACUUCAUCAAAGUGGUUACAAGGUCAACACUCUGAGUCCAAAAUAUAUCUUUCAAGACAAAAGUUCGUGGGUUCAUUUAUACAUGAAUGGCGCAGUUGCAAGAGAUACGAGGAAUGCUUCUGCUGGAAGUAUGCUGCGAGAUCAACUUGAAAAUUGGAUUAUGAGAUUUAAUCGAUACUUGGGUAAAUGUUCACCUUUUGAGGCUGAAGUAUUGGGUAUUCUGGAUGGGCUCCUUGUGUAAAUUAUCUUUCUAAUCACGGACGAACUUGUGUAAAUUUUAAAUUAAUUGUUGACAUAAAAUCUAAAGUUGGUUUAAUGUAUUUAUAAAUCUCUUCAUCCAUUGUAAUGUAAUUACUUAUUUGUAUGAAAAGAAUUAAAUUAUCUUAAAUUUAAAAUUAAAUAUGAUUUAAAAAACUCAAAUUUGGUUAUUUCCUUAAACUUCAAAUAUUUGCUGGUGAAAAGAAAUAGUUUUAAAUGUAAGUAUAUAAUUUUUGUUAGGUUGAAUAGUAACAAAAUUGAUUUUUUAAAGUAAGGUCGUUUUCUGUAUGAAAAUACAACAUUGAAAGAAUUUUUCAAUUAAGCUAUUUAGUUGGGAUCCGAUGCUGCUACCAAAUACUUUUUAUCACUUAAUUAUAAAAAAAAUUAUAAAAUUGUUACUAAUAUAUUUUAAUUUGUUUUUUUAUUCUAUUGUUAAAUAACAAACCAAAAUAUGAGGUGAUAGUUUUUAAAAUUAAUAAGAUAAUUAAAUUAACUUUAAUAUUUAAUUAUAAUAGUUGAAUAAGCAGAUAUCUUAUUUUUUAUUAAUUAUUUAACGACUGAUGAUUAGAAAAAUUAAAACUCAAAUACUACUAUUUUUUUCUAUAGAAAAUAACAUCAUAAAGCGAAUCAGCAACUAAUUAAAUCUUAACCCGACAUCGGCCGAACUUGAUCAGCUAAUAAAGUUUCCACUGUAUCCAAGGGAUCAUCGUAUACUUGAAAACUUAAAAUUCCGAGAGUAUAACAUUUAGCCAUACAAUCAAUAAUUUCAUUAUGAAUUUUUGGAAUAUGAUGAAUCUUUACUCUUCAACUCUUCUCAAAAUUUGAUGCAGCAAAUAUAACUCUACCAGACUGCUAUUGUCUCUCCCAUCAAUCGAAAAUAUGUUCAACAAUUGUUGGGAUGAAAAUAGGUUUUUAAUUAAAUAAAUUUAAUUUGGACUGCUGUAAGAACUCAAAUUUACCCGGGCCUAAAACCAUUAACCAGCCCAAACAAAAAAACAACAUAAAAACGAAAGCCCAAAUACAAAAAUUACCAGUCCAGAGUCCAAAAUACAAGUCCAAAUUUUUGCAGACCCAAAACUAAAAAAACUUAGCCCAAAGAUAACAAGCCCAUGUACCUAAACAUUUUUUACAGAAGCCUAAACCCUAAUUUUAUGUGCGCCGCACCUAUGCCCUCCUCGGCCACGUCGCCUGCACCUCGUCCCGAGGCUCGUCUGCAAGCUUGCACCGAAAUGGAAAAAGAAACCUUUCUCCCCUCCAUUGACUAAGCGCCGACCCUGCAAAAAGAAGAAAGAGAGACAGAAACAAGGAUAAUAGAAAUAGUAGCAUAAACGGAAUCAUGAACAGCACCAAUAGUGAAAUAAACAGUAGAAUAGGAAGUUUUUAUUUGGCUAUAAAAGCCAGAAAGAUCAAUGUAUUAAAAAAAAAAGGAGAAGAUUAAGCAAUCAAAAAAGCAAAAACAAAAAAGGUUGAUUUUAAAUAUCAUUUACUUGUUCUUUUUCUUUCGGAUUUCCCCUUUUUUAUUUAUUUUUCUGCUUUUUAAAUUUAUUUUUUGACAAAAAUAUAAAGGAGAGGAGAAGAGGAAGUUUACCCAAACCCCGGGGUCCCGUCCGUCUUCGAAAUCGGGCUCAAAAGGGGAGGAGAGACUUUCUUCUCUUGAUGUUUUCGGGCUAAAGAGAUGGCUUUUAAAACCGUCUACAGUGGAGGAGCGGCGGUCAUGGCGAUGGUGGCGAUGAUGGGUUAAGAAACCCUAGCAGAGAAAGAAAUGGGGAGAAGGGGGGUUGCUCUCUCUGUUUUUUGCAGAAGAAAAGGGAUGAAAUAAAAAAAAUGAAAAUUUUAGUUUAAAUAGCAGUGCACAAACGGUGCCGUUUUGCACUAGGGGUACCAGCAUUGAAACGACGCCGUUUAAGGCGACCUGCGCGCGACCCGACUAGUUCCAAGGGGGAUACGUGUGUUUCUAAAAAGGGUUAUUUACAAUCCAUGUCCCUCCACAUUUUUAUUUGUCUUUAUUUAAUCCGUUUGUUUAUUUUCCCUUUAUUUUUAAAUUUAGCCACACAAAUCUGCUCGAUUCUCAUUUCGGUCCCUGACCCGUGGACGCAAUGGGUAAUGGACACGUGUCCAGAAGCAGGAUUUUUGCCCAUCAAGUCUUCAGAUCUUGUGUUUUUUUUUAAUUUUUGCCCCGUGUUUCUAUUUUAUUAUUAUUUUUACUUCUAAUUUCAUUUAUGCUCCAGUUUAAUCCCUAAACAGUUUGAUUUUUUUUAUCCUACUAUCAUUUAUUUACUCAUUUUUUACGCACAUUAUUUAUUUUAGAUUUGUAUAUUAAUUCUUUAAAAUUGUUUUAUGAACCAUACAUCUAAAUUUGCUUUACCAAUAUUAUUAAAUUCACCUGUUUUAUUUAUUUUAAAUAUUUUCGUGUAUUGACUAUUAACUUCUAUGUAUUAUUUACCUUAGAUAUUUUUUUUUAUAUAUAAAUUAUUUGUUUUAAAUUAUUUUACAUGUCAUCUAUUUUAAAUCUUUACGUAUAAUAUUUAGUUUGAACUACUUUGUAUGUUAUUCAUUUGUAAAUUUUUAUGUAGUGUUCCUUUUAAAUUGUUUAAACACGUGUUACUUUAAAUUUUUUACUUUACAUUGCUUUAUUUAUUUAUUUCAAACUUUUUCAUAUAGUAAUAUUAUUAUUAUUAUUAUUAUUAUUAUAAAUUUAUAUAUACCUUAUUCUUAGUCCUUUUUUAUGGAUUAUUUAUUUACAAAUUUUCAUAUAUAAUUUAUCCUAAAUUCUUUAUACAUUAUUUAUUUUUAUAUAUAUUAUUUAUAUUAGACCUUUUAUUUUAUUUAUACUAUUUAUAUUAAGUUCCCUUUUACAUGUCUUAGACCUUUUGUAUAUAACUUCAAAUUAUUAUAUAUAUUAUUUAUCUCAAGUUGCUUUAUUUUAUUUAAAAUCUUUCGUAUAUUAAUUAUUCCAAAUUGUUAACUUUAAAUUGCUUUUAUAGUUUCUAUUUUUAACCUUUUAUAUGUAAUAUUUGUUUAAAAUUAUCUCAUUAUUUGUUUUAAGUUAUUUUAUAUUUAAUUUUUAUGUUUAUUAAUGUUGCCAUUACAUGUUAUGGAGAUUUUUUAUUUAAAAGCCCUCAUAUUAUUGACUCCCAUCAAUCCUGCCUUUAAUUCAUGUAUUAUUAUUUCAUGUUCCAUAUUCCUUUUUGUUUCAUCUCAUUCAAGUCAUAUCGUGCACCAAAUGUAGUUGUCCAAACAUGGAUCGUUUCAUUCCCAAAAAAUAAAUGCACAUUGCUAAAUGUCGCACUCGUUUUAUUUAAAGAAAGGCAAUGUUUCAUAUUUGGAAAUUUUGAAAAAAUCGUGCCCUAUGUGUUAGGUUUCGAUUUAUUGUUUGACCGAACAACCGAAUAUGCUUUUUAAAAUUUCAAUGCAUAAGUUUUGGAAAUCAUGAGAUGAUUUUGGUAUUGAAGGUUUGAAAUAUCGUGUCCUACGUGCUGGAUGUGAUAUUUUAUUUCUUCGAAACAAGAGAAUCUUAAUCUUUUCAUACUAUUACAUUUAUUUCAAGAUCUUUUUUUUAAAAAAAGGGGCGCAAUAUUUCGUGUUUAGAAUUUUCAAGAAAUUGUGCCCUACGUGCUGGGUUUUGAUUUUUUCGUUUGACCCAAAUAAUCGAAUAACCUUUUAAAAUGCCAAUACAUGAGUUUUGGAAAUCACGAGACGAUUUUGGUAUCGAAGGUUUGAAAUGUUGUGUCCUACGUGCUGGAUGUGAUAUUUCAUUUCUUUGAAACAAUAGAAUCUUAAUGUCCAUUUCAAGUUACCCAAACAUGCAUAAAAAGGGAUCGUAUCUUAAAUUUUAUUUUAAAUCUUUUCAACUCUCGACAUUAAGACAUUAAUUAAUCAAUUAGGUACCAAUUUUGGGCGUUAUGAGGGUGCUAGUCCUUCCUCGUACGUAACCGGCUCCCGAAUCCUUUUUCUCAAAUAUUCAUAGACCAAAAUCGUUGUUUUAGUAAACCAAAAUAUUUUAUUAAAAUGACCAAACUUUUUGGUGAUCCGAUCACACCUAAACAAAAAAAAUUGGUGGCGAUUCCCGUUUUCGUUUUUGCUUUCAAAACCAAAGUCGACGCCCUUUUCAAAAAAAUGGUUUCGACAACAGCUAUUAGAGAGAAAAUGGAGCUUAACAGUAGAGUGACCACUUUGUAACAAAACAAAAACGUAAGUGAUUAAAAUAUAACAUUUCAAACCUAAAUAAUUAAAAUGUAAUCUGAUACAAAUAAAAGUAAUAAUGCGUAGUUUAAUCAAAAUAAUUCGAACCAUAUAUUGAAAAAAAAAUCCAAAUCGUGGGUUACAUCAAUCUUUCCCACAUUGAUUGACUUUUUUUUCAUUUUCUUUUAUUUUAGUGAACAUAUUGUCAGCAGUUUGACGGGCAUUGAGUUUUGGAGUGUUGGGAUAAUUGGCCUAAUGCAAUGACAGAUUUGAUUUUUUAUUUAAUAAUAAAAACAUGUUUUCUAAUCAAUUUAAUUUCGACUUAAAUAAGAGACGAUGGUCCACGUUUAAAUUUUAAAUUUAUAAAAUUUUGUAUCUUUAAAUUAGUUUUGAAAUUUUAGAACAGGUCCUUGACAAGAAAAAGGACUUGAGAACUUAAGUUUUAAAUUUAAGUUCAUCAUGCGAAAUUGAAAUGGGUGAGUUUCCAUCUUACUUUGUACAUAUAUCGUGUAUGGGUUUUGGUCGAUUCUUUUCAAUUUGAUUUGGUUGUUUUGGACUCUCCGUCUACUGUGUUUUGUACUUGUAUUACAUUGUAAUUAUUAUCAAUGGCGGAUCUAAAAAUAUGACUUAGAGAGGACAAACUUAUAUUAGCAUUGUCGACUACAUAUAUUUUUUUAGUAUUAAUUUUCAUGUGUAAUUAUUCAAUAAUUAAAAUAUAGAUGUAUAUUUAUGAUUUGAAAUAUGAAUAAAAUUAAAGUUUAACCUUUUAAUCUUGAUAAUUACAUUGUGCUUCCAAUUUCUAGUAAGUAAUACCAACAUAUCAAAAUCUAAAAAUUAGUAUGAUCUUCUACCAUCUGAAAAAAAAAAGAAAAAACAAACCAAAACUAAAAAAUAUAUAUUUAUUAAACUUUUUUUUGGGUUUAGAGAAAAAAUUUAAAUUUUUAAGAGAUUUAAUGAAAUAAAAUUCAUCUUAAACGGGUACUAUGUAAAUUUCUAAAAAGCUAGACUGCAAUGACCCUUCAACUCAUAAUUUUCAAUAAUAGUCACUCUCUAAAUCCAUUAACCGAAAGGUAUUUACCGGCUUCCAUAAAACAUAAAUUCCACUAAGAAGUGGAUUAAAACUAAUAUUCUCCCCAAAAAUUUGAUCACCAUGCUCUUUCUCCAUUAAAAAUGACAAUUAAUAACUUCAAUCUAAGUCUUAGUGUCCACUGUUGUUGUUUAACCUAAACUUACAAUCUAUUAUUGUUGUUUCUUUCCAAUUGAGAAUUUUGGAAGUGGUCUAAGGGACCACUUUGGAAUUUUAUUAUUUUUAAAAGAGAAAACAAGGAAUCAAAAUUAAGGCUGUUGGAAUUUUUUAAAAUGGUUUUAAUUAAUGGAAACUAAACAACAAUAGAAAGUAGAAACAGCUAAGAUUGGACAAAGGGCAUCUAGACAUUGAACCCCCCCCCCCCCCGCCCCUUUUUUUUUUUUGACUUUUAGGUCCCUUGCUUAGAAUAUAUGCUCAGUUCUUGCAUUCUCCAAUAACCAAUUAUUCAUUAUUUUAUUUUAUUUUUCUUGCUUUUCAUGUUUUUAAGUUUUUCUUUUUCCUGUUUGUUGUCUUAUUAUGAAGCUGUCUCCUUGUAAAUUAGCUUUUUAUGUCUGAAAACGAAGUCUAGUCAUCGUCAACAUUUUGCCUUUUUUUUUUUAGGUUUCAUUAGUAAAUUUUCACUCAUAAAUUAUUUUUCUAUUUUAAAUUGGUUUUUAGUUUUUUCUAGAAGUGAUUUAUAAACUAUUAACGUGCCAUGUUCAUAUUAGUUAAUUUCUUUGGGGGCAGACUAGGACUAACUUCAAGGAUCAAUGUGAAAAUUAAGGAAUAGUUUAAGGGUAAAUUUACUAAAAAAAGUAUUUUUAAAUAUUAAUAAUUAUUAGAGACAACAUCUUUAAUAAUGAUUAGGGACAGAAUCUCUUCAAUUAAGGUUUUUUUUUUUUUAACUUUGAUACUUUUUAUGUCUGUUUUAUAAUUUAUGUUUUAGGUUUAUAGUUGUCAUUUUUAAUAAUGUCUGUCUUCAAGGUUUUAAAUUGUCUUCUUUAGGAUAAUAAUGUGACCUGUUACGAACCCAAUACUUGUUAAUUAAUUAGUAAAUUUUGUGAAAAAAAUGAUAUAAUAGUUCUAAAAUUGGCAUAAUAACAAGCUCGAUUUUUAACGUUUACAUAUUGUGUCGAUUUGGUCAUAAUUUUAAAAAUUAACUAUCAAUAUUUACACAUUAUCUCAAAUUAAUCUUAAUAUUUUUAAAGAUUGGAACUUUAAAAAAAUUCAAAACAAAUAUUAAAUUUAUCAAUCAAACAUUAAAAAAAUACAAACAAUGGAGUAGGGAUGUCAACUGGGCGGCACGGGUGCAGGGAGUGCUCCCUCCGCACUCAUCCACGCCAAGAAUUUUCAUCCCUAUCCCCGCUCCUCGACCUGCUACAGGUACAAAACUCAAAACCAUCCUCGCCAUACGGCCCACAAGACUAAAACCAUCCCCACCCCACCACCCACAUAGGUCCCCAACCCACCUAAUCCCCACUAUACUUGCCCCGCAAUCCACUUCAUAUAAUAUAUUUAUAACUAUCGGUUAAAUAAAUAUAAACCAAAUUUUUAUGAAAAAAGUAUGAAAUACUUAUCCUUCGAACUCCCACUACAUAUGUGAUAUUAUUCGAACGAUCACCGUUUAAAAAAAAGUCAUCACGACCAUUUAAUUGGUAAAUAAAAUAUAACUUCAAUACUAGUUUAAAAAUUCAGAAAAUAAAAUCCUUGCUUAAUAUCCAAAUACAAACAAUGUCUCAAAUACAUCAUAAAUAUAUUCAAAUGCAACACAAGUGCAAUAAUUAAAUAUUAUUAAAUUAAUUAAAUAUUAUUAAGAUAAUUAUUAAAUUAAAUUUUUAUUUUUUAAAUACGUUUAUUAUAUUAUGCAAGACGGGUGGGGAUGGGGUAGGUACAAAGUCAUACCCACGCCUGCCCCACCACCUACGGCUGGUCUAAUUUUUGCCCCCAUCUCACCCAAUUAAAUGUGAAAUGGGACGGACCCAGCAAAACCCUCCCCAUUGACAUUCCUACAAUGGAGUUUUUAAAAUUUUUAUUUUUGUUUUUUAUUUUGUUAAAAAACUCAUUUUAGUUUAAAAAUUGGUUACAUUUGACAUGAUAAUACCCAUCUUUUCUGGUGAAAAAUUUUGAUAGGGGCAAUUUUUUCUAUUAACAAAACCAUCCAAAAUUCAAAACAAAUAAUAUUAAUAAUUAAUUUUAAUUAAAUUAAUUUCAAAAAUUAAAUUAAAUAUUAAAAUAUUAACACUUUCAUCUUUAAAUAUCAAAAUAUAUAACUUUUGUUAAAAUAUACAGAUUGGACAAAAAAAAACACAUAUACAAUAUUAGAAAAAAUCUCAAAUUCUGAUACUAAAUGAUAUAUAAAGGCAACUUAAAAUUUAAAAUUAAGAAAAUACCCCUAAUAUAAUAGCAUCUGGGUUAAUGUACACUUUAGUUCUUGAAUUUAGCAACUUGUACUUGGUACUUAAAUUUUUUUUGGAUCUAACUGGUACAUAAACUUAAAAACCGUAAACUAAAGUGGUACUUUUUUUAAGUACCUAAACUUUUUUUUGGACCUAAUUGGUACUUGAACUUGAAAGCCUAAAUCAAAGUGAUACUUUCUUUUAGAUCCAGUCAAUCCUUGCACCUCAUGAGUAUUAAAAAUGAGAAAAGAAAAUAUUUUUCAAUUUUAUUUUAAUAUUUAUUUAUUAAAAUACAUUGAAAAGUUUUAAAAAACUUUUAUUUUUUUAAUACUCCCAACCAAACUUAAUCAUGGGUUGGGUUGGGUUCAGUUCGAGCUAAUGUAGAAUUUUAGGCUCAUUUUUUAUGCCAAAACUCAUCCCAAAAAAUAGGUCUAAAAUUCUGCUCAAGCCCAAAUUAGACUAAAAAUACUAAAUUCAAGCCUAAUACAAUCCGACCCACCCAUAUUAAUUUUAAAAUAAGUUAAAAAAAAUAUAAUAUUUGAAAAUUUAGCAAAAGAAUGAAUAAAACUUGGUUUGCAUCCUCCAUCAUUGACUGGGGUUCUUAGGUUUUUUGUCUUACAAAAAUAUCUUGAUUUUAUUGAAAUGGAAUUUAUUGCCAUUUGAAGUUAGUUUCCAUGCGCUUAUUUUACAAUACAAAGUCAUGAAUAUCAUUUUUAUUUAUUUUACUAACUCUAUUUAUUUCAUUUUCUCUUCUAUUCAAUUCUCCAAAUUUACUUCUCUUAUAACCAUAAGUUAGAAACAUGAAGAUGUGUGUUUCAAAAACUAGACAAUUAAGGGAAAAAUGAAAGAAAGUAUAGGCACGUGUUUGGGCCGAUCUGUUUAGAAAAUGGGUUUUAUUUUUAUUUUUUGUUUAAAUUUAUUUUUCGGAUCUAUAUUUUUGUCUAAGCUCAUUUUUUGGAUCUAUAUUUUUAUCCAAACUCUCUCACUUUUCGAACGAGCCUUCAGACCUAGACAGGUGACUCGGCUCGUGAUAAGUUCUAACCCUACCCCUACCCCUUUGCUCUCCUUUUUCUUUCUUCUCCCAAUCCCUCACUUUUCUAUUUUUUUUUCCUUUCAUUUAAAAGACGUAUCACUUUAUUAUAAAUUUUUAAAUUUAAAUAUCAAUUAAAUAAAAAAAAGUAAAUAUUAAAUAAAUAUAAAUUGUCAAAUUUAAAGACUAAAGUCUAAAUUAAUCAGACCCAUAUACUUAGAUUACUGUCGGAUCCAUUAGCUUCGUGGAGCAAAGACUGGGUGGUGGGCCUUAAAUCCCAUGCAACUUUGGCAAGUAAAACGGCUACGUUUGUAGUGACCACACCAGUGUCAAUGGGUUCAAGCAUAUAGGCCCAUUUAAGUUUGCUUAUAAUUUUAAUAUCUAAUUCCAUCCUCAAAGAAUCAUUAUCGUAUUAAUUAAGUGUAUUAAUUAAUAUAGUCGUUAAUUUGAAUAUUUAUAAAAUCUUAAUUAAGUUAAUGUACGAAUUAAUGAAAGAUCAACUCAAUUUGGUAAUAACUAAAAUAUCGUUAUUUGUAUUAUUUCGAAAAUAUUUUUUUCUUUUUUAUAUAAAAAAAAUUGAAAAAUGCACAUAUAUAAAGGAUUUAAACUCCAUAAAUUAUAUUUUUAACAUUUUUAUUUUACCAUUUCAAUUAAAGCACAUUGUUAAACGUUUGUUUUUUCAUAAUCUAGUUAAAAAGUUUAAUUUAAUUAUAACGAACUUAUAUUUAUUACACGAUCUUAUAUCUAACUUGUUGAUAAAGCAAAUAAUAUUUAUGACACAUUACAUUUUCAAGAGAAAAUGUAAAUUCAAACCUUAAAAUUAUUGAAAAGAAUAAUCAUGAACCCCAAAUAUGAAACUUAAAAUAACUAUGAAGAAUAAAAAAAGAAUUUAAAAAAAUUCCAAUUAACAUUAAACAAAGUGAGAUAGGUGAAAUAGUACAUAUUAUGAAUUUAUGAUAAUCAAGAACAUAAGUAAAAAUUACAACUUACAUUUUCUAAUUUAUCAACAAAUUGUCUUUGAAAAGAAAAAAAAAUCAACAAAUUCGUUUUGAACCUAAAAAAUAUUCAACAAAUUUUCUUAUAAAAAUAAACGAAUAAAAAAAUCCAGUAAAAUAAAUGAAUAAAAAAAUUUUCCCAUUAUUUUAUCUUCCUAAAGUACCCAGCACUAGCACUUUCGAAAUUACCAAUCUACCCUUUCCAUUCGUUACAGAGGGAAGUAGGCCUAGUCUUCUGUGUUUCAAACUUUAAAGGGCAGGGCGUCUGUACGGGCGGCACCAUGCAAUUAUACUGUAUACACAGCGAAGUGCUUUGAGGGAUCUCAGCCGUUGGAUUAAUCCCGAUCCCGGUCAAAAAAUUAUGCUGCAAAUAAAGUGUUUGUAAGCUGGCUGAUAAUAAACGGUCCACUAAGCUGUCCGGUACCUGACCCGUGAACCGGUUAUGAUUCAAGUAAAGAUUCUGCACGGUCGAGAACAUCGGUGAAAUUCGACCCGAAAGCAUGUUAUGGCUCAGAUCAACGGUCGAGAUCUUCACUUGAUCGCCCGGUUGGACUGGACCGUAAAACGAGUUUCUUUGCAAGUGAAGGUUUGUGAGAGGAAAUGAGAAAACCCGGUCGGGGAUUGGACCGGUGAAACGGUUAAAACUCAAAUCUAGGAAACUUAACUGGUCGAGCCGGGAUAGGACACUGUCCACCGGUCCAGUCAGUUGGUUCCAUGAGAGAGAGAGAAACUGGAGGGAAGGAGAGAAGGAGUUGGGGAGUGAACCGGUGAGAGCGUUCCGUUUUAGGUCCAACCGGGUUAAGGCUUGGGAGAGAAACGGAGGGACCGAACCGGAGAGGUUAUUGUGGCAGAGAAGAACAUUGGUAAGCUCCGGUAAGGUCCCGACAGAACGAGGGAUUUUACCGGUGAGUCGAUUGUAACUAAGAUCAAGAGUUUUAAGCCUUCUCAAUCGACCGACACUCGCCGGUAUAUUCCCGGAGAUAAAAUUCCGAGUUAUCGCAAGAACCCGAAGGUUCUGUAAUUGCGAAAUCGACAUCGGCAACGACCCGAAGACCCGACCCGGAACCAGAGAAAACUCUGUAAGUGCUGAGAGUUUCCCAAUAGCCGUGUCUAACCUUCCGGUUAAACCCGGAAAACCAGCACGCGGGUCACCUAGAUUAAGAGCUAUUACCUUAUCGGACUCACAAUAAACUCCGGUGAAGUUACAAGGAUCGGAGGUGAAAUCCCAGGAAGCAAAAAAACUAGACCCCGGUAAAUCAUUCAUCGACUUCCUAAUCAACUGUAAAGCUAAAAAAUCAAGUGGGUCUAAAAUUGCAAAAGCCAAGAAUCUACAUUGAAACAGAGCAGCUAAAAACAGAGCAUAAGAAACCAAUCUCUUUCUUCCUUGUUUCCCCAUUGAAAGAGCCGAUGGGCGUUUUUGGGUCCACGAAGGUUAGCUUUCUUAUUGACAGAAUACUAUCAACUCAAAGAUGAAAGCUUUUUUAAUGGCUUGAAAGAAAAUGAAGAAGAAGAAGAAGAAGACUGGAGAUUGGGUAGUAAGAGGAAAUGCAGAGUAUUGAUGGCUUAUAGAUACUGAUUACUGAAAAGGGAGUGAAUCAGUGAACGUAUAUUUUUUGGUUUAGUUUAUUAUUAUUAUUUGGUUAUUGAUUUUGUUUCAUUAUUGGGAUAGGUUCGGGAAUAAACGGUUGUCCGAGCCUACUCGUAAGGUAGAAAUUUAGGUUCGGAGAGUGCGGAAGCUGUAUUAGUGCAAUUAUGUUCUCUUAUAGAAAGUAGUGUAUAGAAAGUAAUGUUACGACAAAAGCAAUUAUAUUUCACCGGAUCGAGGUUUAGGGUUGUGAAUUCCAUUCCUUGAUGUGUUAUAUACAUGUAUCAAACAAGUCUAGGAUUGCAUUUCAAUUUUUUAUUAAAAAAUAAGUUAAUUAAUUUUUAUAUAUUUCACGCUAUGUAAAUUAGAUUAUUUUUUUAAAAGAAAAUUCAUGAGCCGCACAAUUUAAAGAAAAAUAUAGCAAAUACUCGUUAUAGAUGGUGAAUGACAAGUUUCAUUAACACAACAAAAGUUUUAGCCUUAGCAUCAAUAGAACAUUAUGACACGUUGACAAUUAACUUUGUCAUAACUUAAGCAUGACAUAUCCAGAGUGAUUGCUAGCACUUAAUACGUUAAGGAAAUCAACUCUGGAUGGUCCAAAGCGACGAGCAAAAAUCGAUAAAAGAAUCGAGCAUUUACUAAACUAGAGAGGACGUCAACAAAAUCAUCCUUAAUAUCACUUGUAAAACUAAGAUUAUAUGCAUAAAGACUAAAAAACGUGCUACAAGAGCAGACAAUACUUAUUAAACAAUGGAAAAAUAAACAAAAAUCAUAUAAAACUUAAGACAACAUAUAUCCAAAUCGACAUGUGAAAUCAUUUAUUAUUUUAAAAUACUCUCAAAACGGAAACAAAUUAAAAAGUUGACGAAGAGCCACCUAUUUUUUAAGAAAAACUACUAGUGGCCGAUGGAGUUUUAGUGAAUGACAAAUAUCAUCAUUUGUCCAUCACAACUUGUGGAGACAACAAAUAUACCUACAAAAUAGAUUCGCAAACUGAAAAGAGAGAAGACAUGUGUAGUGAAUGAAAAGAAGAAGAAAUAAAUGGUUGAUGGGAGAGAAAAAAGGUGGAUGAUAGCUAGCCUAAAAGCUGACACUGACGCUGAGCAAAUCAAAAAAUAAGAAACAAAUGGCUUGGGGAGAAAAAGAUAAAAGUUUUUAGGGUUUUUUAGUUAUUAAUCUCUGCAUUUAAGGAGGAUUUUGAAAUUAUAGGAAAAUCACUAAACCCAUAUAGAAACCCGACCCAUCUUAUUCCCAAUUGACCCGAGAAAACCCAUGCUCGACUGACCCGACCCAUCACUAAUCUAAACAGACAAUUAGUAAGGAUAUUUAUCAAAAUUUCUUAAGAAUAUUUACUAAACAAACACCCUACUUUUCACUACAUUAAUCAUGAAUUUAUUAUAAAAUUAAAAAAAAUUCCAAUGUAAAUGAUUACUUUUGUUUCCUUAUUAAUAUUUUCUCUAGACUAAAAUAAAUCAGAUAAAAUGAUCAUGGGAAUCUUUUUAUUUAAUUAUAUGAUUAUAUAUGUACCAAUUAUUCGAAAGGGUCAACUAUACUCAUGAACACUUUUAUUUAUCUUAAGUUAUAUUUUAGUCACUUAUGUUUGAAAUGUUUUGUUUUAGUUACUUACGUUAUCAUGUUGUAACCUUUUAGUCACUGAACUGUUAAUUGCCGCUAACGUGACAUGUUAAACACUCAUAUUUUUUCGUUUUGAACAAUUUAAUUUUUUUCUUUAUGUUCUUUAAACUUUUUUUUUCUUCUUUAUUUUCUAUUCUCUUUUGUUUCUCCCUUUGUUUUCUUAUUUUCUCUAUAUCUUUUAACACGUCAGAAAGUUAAUUGGCAAAAAAUAUUGUCAAACAUUAUUAUCGUAUCUUAAUAAUUCUAUUAUUGAAUUAUAAUAAUUGAAAAAUAUUAAUGAUAUUGCAUCAAUUUAAAAACAAUGAAAAUAUAAAAACAUUGAAUCCCGUGCAUUAAUUUAUUUUAAGAAAAUUUUUAUAAUGAUACCUUAAUUUCGAACUAGAUUUCUCUAAGACGAGAGGUCUAUCUUUUGCUCAUUGACUUGUUUAGUUACGGAGUUUUUAUUUCUUUUAAUUAAAAAUUUUGUAUUUGGUUAAUUGGAAUUUUUUUUUUUAUUUAGAUAGUUGAAUUCUAUUUGAAGUUGAGUUACAUUUAAGUCUAUUAAUUAAAAAGUGAUCGAUAUUGAUUUUUAAAUCAGAUAUGAAUUUUGAGUUUAUUAAUUAAAAUUUAAUUGACUUAAUCGAAAUUAAAGAGAAAAGAAAUUCGGAAAAAAACCAAUUUAUUUUCAAUUCUUAAUAACCAAAAUUUAUUGUUGACUUACAAUUGAAAUUUAAAAACUUAUAAUUGUAUCCUCAAAAUUUUAAUAUUAUAUCAAUUAUGUCCAUUCAUCGAUCUAUUGUUCACUUAAACAUUAAAUACCAACUCGUAUCUAACCCAUAAAAUAUGUAAAACAAACAAAUAUCAAGUGGUGGGAUACGAUGUUAGUUCCAAAGUGUAGACUGAACCACGACAGAGAGGGCAACCCUCAUCCUUAACCAACCAUUUAUCUAUACAAAGUUGAUGGUACAUAUGUUUGCAGUUAGGAAGAACCCUACAAGUAUCCCCAUCUUUGAACUCUUCCAAGCAUAUAACGCAAUGACACGAUUCGAUUUCUCCCUCAAUCUUGUACUUAACAACGGUCCCGACCGUAAUCGGCCUCGGAACUUCAUCCGGCAACAUUGAUCGGCUUCGCAUGGCGUGAUCAAUUGCCGCUACAUAUCUCGGCAACCUGUUUUCGGUAUCCUCGUCGAUAUCCCGGCAAAAACAAUGGAGCAGCAUCAAGAUAAACACGACCGUGAAGUAUAAACAAGACCAGACAAGAAAUACCAUGAAAAUAAGUAUUAUGAUGAUAAUGGGGAUAGCAAGCAUGACCCCUACGGGUAUUGCAAUUAUCAUGCUGAUCGGUGGUUCCAUUAUUUUGAGAGAUUCGAAGAGAUUUUUUUGGUAUAUUAAUCAACUUAAAGGCAAAUUCGAUUAAGGGGCUAUAUAAAGAUAAGAUAAUAGACUUUUAUUAUAAGUAGGAUUUAACUAUAUAAAUUAAAAUAUAAUAAUAAAUCUAUUCUAAAAUCUUAAAUACUCAAAUUUUAACAUUUAAACUCUAAACCCUAAACAUUAUUUAUAAAUUAAAACCCCUAAAUUUCAAAAAAAAAAGUUGGUUGCUCUAAGCCCAAUCAUGAAAUCUUUUAAUAACGAAGCUAUGAGUUUUAUUAGAAUAAUUACCAUCACUAGCCCAAAACCUAAAUGGAUUUGAGCCAGAUUGCAAUAAGCUUGUAGGAUUGAUUCACAGGUCAAGCUCGCUUGAUCUGGUUGCAGAAUAGGUUCACAUAGAACCCUAUGAACAUGUGUUUAGUCUAGAAGAUGAUACAUGUCUAUAUGCAUGUAUAUAUUGCAUUCUAAUUAUUGAAUCUUCAAAAUAUCACUAUCGUAUCAAUCAAUUCAUUCUAUAAUUAGUUUAGGCAUUAAAUAGUAUCUUAAAUUUGAGGUAGAACAUAUAUAUAUAUUGCAUGAAAGGAGUGAAUAGUUAUCCUAUAUUUUAAUGAUAUUGUCUGUUUUUUAAAUAUGUCAGAUCCAAGUUCUUUAUAUAGUAAACACACACGUAUUUAUUAUUUUGUGAAAUAAAGAUGCUACAUAUCUAAUUUGUAUUGUAUUUAACAACUAAACUGAUAGAAAAACAUGAUUAAUGCAAUGUUGACACUUUAAUCAUUUAUUUAAAAUAUUUUAAGUUUUAGGGACUAAUUUGCAAUUUAUACGUCAGUUUUAAAAUGUUUUGGUAUUAUCCCUUGAAUUGACUUCAUUUUCACCUUACUGAGGUUCUGGAAACAGUCGGAAAAUGUUUGCCCUUAGCAAAACAUGUGGGAAAUUCAUUUUCCUAGAUGGAAAUAAAACAUGCCUCACUAUAAUAACACAAGUUGUUGAAAUUUCAACUAACACCAAUAUACUUUUUAUUUACAAGUGGAAAUUUAUUUAGUCAUAUACUAAAUGGAAAAAUAAAAGUCAAUAUGCUCAAUGCAAAAUAUUGUAAUAAGAUGGGUGGAUUUUUUUAAAUAAUAUUUCGAGUUUAAGUUUUAUUAACGUGGGAUGGUAGCGUUUGCUAUAGUUUAUUUGAUAGGUGGAGAGGUUUAUGCGAUUAAAGUUGAUCAAAGUCUAAGUUCUUUGAGUUAAGAGAGUCAUUUUUAAUCAGUUUACAACUUUUCAUUCAUCGAGUGAAUUGUCACAAACUAUUAUAAUCUUAACAUUGUUGUACCGACAAGUCUUAUGAAUAAAAAAUAUAUAUAUAUAAGAACUGUUUUAUAGAAAUCUAAUCCGACUUAGCUUUGGAUUUAAUCAAAAUGCCAAUAAAAGGUAAAAAAUACCAUAAAAGCUCUUGUAUUAAGAGUCGAAAUGUAUUUUUUCGUUUUAUUAAAAAAUGAGUAAAGUAGUUCAUUUACGUUAGAUGAAAGAAUAAAUUGAUCUUUUUGUUAAAAAUUCAUCCAUUUUUAUUGUUAAAAACCGGUCUCUAUACAUUAGUAUUAAAUACAAAUAACAUAUUAUAUGUCACUGUUUAAUUAUUCUAUGAAUCGCGUUAAUUUUUAACUCUAUUUUAAACAAAAAGAAAUUUUUGAUUUCAUCUAUAAGAAUUAAUUGUAAUCUCCUUUUGCAUCAUCUAUUACCGAUAAAGAAGAACACUGCAACAAGUAAGAAUGUGUUUGGCUCCUGAGAAAAAAAUGACACCAUUUUGAAACCUGGGUAAAAGACAAAAGGUUUUUAGGAACCCAAAUUGGACCCGAAACGAAGAAAAACGAAAAACCAAUCACAUCAUCGAUAAAUAAAAGUAAAAACCACAAAACCAACCUUCGACGAAUUUCCCAACUUCAUUUCUCCGCCGCCAUCUCCGCCGUCUCCGAAUCUUUUUCACCCUUAACUGUCUCUAAUCUUUCAAAAACAUAAAGCCCAGAGACGAAACUUAAUCAUUAAUCCCAUAAUCACCACCACCAAUGAAUUAUUAUCUUCCAUAAUCAAAUUUCCUCCCAAAUGUCCUUUCAUUAUCUUCUCUUCUUGUUCUUCAUCUUAAACCUUUUCCCAUUUUGCUUUGCUGAAAACGACACCGUAUCAUGUCCCUUAAACUUCACCAUCCUACGGCCGGCUCUUCCCAACAGACCCCAACACAACACCACCAGCGAGUGCCAUUACCUCCUCCAAGGCCUCCGCCUUGUCCUCUCCGACUACCUUAAACGCACCGGUUUGUUCUUCCCUCCUCUAAACACCUCGGAGUCCUGUUGGGAAUCUUAUCAGUCCCUCCUCCCAAGUUUCAACAUCCGUUCUUCAUGUGGUCUCGAGACCGAUUGGAUCUCCCAAGGCUGCAAGAACUUAACCACGACGGCCGAAUUCGAAGCUUCGACCCCAAACGCCACUUUAAACGACGUGGUUUUGAAUUGUAACCAGUCGUUACAUGGUUCAGCUUGUGCUUCAUGUGUUCGAAGCUUGGCUAGUUUACAAGCUUUACACUCGGUGAACAGUUCGAUAGCAAACGUGUCUGAUUGUACGGAUUACCCCUUUAUUUACGCAGCAGCUGAAGCUAAUUACUUGGGACCAACUGAUGAAGAUACAGCUUAUUGUUUGUUUUCAAUUGAUUUCAGUAAUGGUGAAGGUAAGAAAAAAAAUGUGAAUUUGGGUCUAAUAAUUGGUGUUGCUAUUGGUUUAGCUGUUUUCAUUGUUGGGUUUUGGUUUGUUUAUAGAAAACUUAAGGAUUCAAAGAAGAAAGGAAGGGAUCAAAUUGGGAAUCUUGAGAACAAUUCUGGGUUGGAUUCCAUUAGUGAAAGUACUAAUUUGGUUAAGUUUACAUUCAAUGAGAUUAAGAUGGCUACUAGGAAUUUCGCAAUAGAUAACAUUAUAGGAAGAGGAGGGUAUGGAAAUGUGUACAAAGGGUACUUACUUGAUGGUUCUGAGGUAGCUUUUAAGAGGUUCAAGAACUGUUCUGCCGCCGGCAAUGCCAAUUUCGUGCACGAAGUCGAGGUUAUUGCUAGUGUUAGGCAUGUGAAUCUUGUUACUUUGAGGGGAUAUUGUACAGCUACGAUGCCAUCAGAGAGUCACCAGAGGAUCAUUGUGUGUGAUUUAAUGAAGAAUGGGAGUUUGCAUGAUCAUCUCUUUGGUUCCACUAAAAGGAGACUUACUUGGCCUAUACGUCAAAAGAUUGCCUUAGGGACAGCAAGGGGAUUAGCUUACUUGCAUUACGGGGCACAAUCGACAAUCAUUCAUAGGGAUAUCAAAGCGAGUAAUAUACUUUUGGAUGAUAUGUUCGAGGCCAAAGUAGCUGAUUUCGGACUUGCUAAGUUUGCGCCAGAAGGGAUGACGCAUUUGAGCACUAGGGUAACCGGAACAAUGGGGUAUGUUGCCCCUGAAUACGCUUUAUAUGGCCAAUUGACCGAUAGGAGCGAUGUGUAUAGUUUUGGAGUAGUGCUUCUUGAGUUGCUGAGCGGAAAGAAGGCACUCAAUAUGGGUGAUGAGAACCAACCUUUAGUGGCUGAUUGGGCAUGGUCAUUGGUGAAGAACGAGAAAGCUUUAGAAGUUAUCGAAGAUGGCAUGCUGGAGUUGGGGCCGCCGGACGUUAUGGAGAAAUAUGUGUUGAUAGCGGUUCUUUGUUCUCACCCGGAAUUACAAUGCAGACCAUCUAUGGAUCAGGUUGUGAAAAUGUUGGAAACAGACAUUUCGGUUCCUUUGAUCCCUGAUAGGCCAAUUCCUAUCGUAGCUCGUAUUGAUGAGAUUGAGAGAUCUAUAAGAAGUAAUGGCUCAGGUCAGUUCAUCAGUUCUGGUGGUUAUCAGAUGUUUGGUUAUGAAAACAGUCAUCAUUCUGAUUAUAAGAUGGGAGGGACAAGUUCAGGGUCUUCAAUAGAAGUUCCUCAUAAACACAACUCAACAUAAUAAAGGACCAUUGAGCUCUCCAAUGGUGUUAUAAGGAUACAAUAGAUUUACAAUCAAGUAACAUUCAUUUAAAGUCGAUAGAUAUAAGGCAUACGGUGGUCAUUUCCAUUUGUAAGUACUUAAAAGGUGUACAUAUAGCAAUUUUUUUUCUCUAUCCAACAUCAAUUGAUUUGUUCAAAGGUGUAUUGUGUUGUGUUGUUUUUUUUUUUUUUGGAAAUUCUUCUCUUCCUGGUCCAACUCUUCUAUUGAGCUUCAAAGCUGACUUUCUUCAUAUAGAAAGGGGAAGGCAAAUUUCAUCUUCAAAAUAAAAUAAAAGAAAAGUUAAUAUAUAUUUAGCUCUAAAUUAAAUAAUUAAUUAUUCUAGUUGACAUUGAACUUAAAAAUUGUUAAUAAGUUGUUACUUGUCGUGGAAAUUUUCAACUUCUCAAUAAAUCUUCGAAAUAUUGAUCAUAGAUGGCGGACAGAUUCCUCUUAAAAGGUCUGUUAUUGGACUUUGUCUUCCUCAUCUGUCAAGAUUUGUGUCAGGUUCAUAAAGGAGGAACACCUUUUACCUAUUCAACUCUUAUAUACAAUAAGAAAUGAAUUCAAUCCCCAUCAAUUGCAAAAUUGUGAGUUUGCAGGGUGGAUGGAAGGUGUUCUCCCUUAAGAACAUGGCGCUAUUCCCGAAGAAGGUAAGAGACAAAGUUCAAAAUUUAUUGAAGGGGUUUGUUGGCCCUCAACGAAUGACACCUUUCUGUUAAAGGAAUUUCUACUCACUUGAAAAAAAGGCUUUGAAGUAUGAUUCAACAAUGAUUGAUGGACUCCUCUUAACAGGCAAGGUGUUGAGCUUAGGUUCCAUACUCAAUAUCAGCCUUGGAGUUUGUAUUUCGCCUUUACCAAGAGCUGCAUCUGGUUCAUGAAGGGAAAUGCCUUCCAUCCUGCAAACAAAUUCACAAAUUACAUUGGUGGAGUUUUAACCCAUAUUCUAUGACAUAUUGGAGUAGAAUAGGUAAAAAUGGGGUUGAAAAAAAAUCAGUAAAUACUUUUUUAGUUUAGCAGCAAUGUUAUAAUCAUAAAAACUUAAACUCCAUCCUAAACAAUCCUAUUUGUCUUUCCAAAUAUAAAAAUUGAAAAAAAUUAAUAAAAUAUUUUAAAAAUAUACGACACGUUAUCUAAUUGGUUUUUUUAAUAUACAUGGAACGAGAAGCAGGUAAGUGAAAACAAAUUUAGUAUAAACUAAGUAGAAAUUGCUGCCUAAAAUAUGCAUUAAUUCUAUACAAAAAUAAAAUAAAAUAGAAGGAAACAACUUUGAACGAAAUUGCCCACUGUGUUUCUCCGCCGUUUCUUGGUCUGCGCUAACCGGCUUAUUGCACAUCAUCUCAUCUUCCAAACUUUUUCUUUUUCCAGUUUCCUUUAAAACUCUCAACGAAACUUAAAAAGUUAAAAUCAUAAUUGCCUCUAUGAAUUGCUAUCUCUCAUAAUCAAGUUCGACCCCUAUGUCCUUUCACUACUGUCUUCUCUUCUUCAUAAUCUCAACUUUCUUCCCAGUUGGCCUUGCUCAAAAUGGCAGCUUACCAUGUCCCUUGACCUUCGCCAUCCUCCAACCCAUACUUCCCACCACCUGGUCCCAACUCAACACCACUUUGGGCUGCAUGGCCGUCCGCCAGGGUCUCCGCUUCGUUCUCUCCGACUACCUAAGACGCACUGGUUCAUUUGUCCCUCCCUUAAACUCCUCCGAAUCAUGUUGGCAAUCUUACCAAUCGCUCAUCCCAAACUUCAACAUCCGUUCCUCGUGUGGUUUCGAAACCGCUUGGAUCUCUCAAGGCUGUAUGGAUUUAACCACGAAGUCUGAUUUCGAAGCUUUAAUCCCAAACUCUACCUUAACCGACGUGGUUUCCAACUGUAACCAGUCUUUGCGUGGUACCGCUUGUGCUUCGUGUACUAGCAGCUUGGCCAAUUUGCUAGCUUUAUACUUGACCAACAGUUCGAUUGCAAGCAUCUCUGACUGCGUGGCAUACCCGUCUAUUUAUGCAGGGGCUUCUGCUAUUUACUUCGGAGCAACUGACACGGCCAUUUGUUUAUUUUCACUUGAUAUCCCUGUCCCUGAUACCAGCAAUGGUGAGGGUGAGAAACAAGGUGUUAGUUUGGGUGUAUUAAUCAGUGUUGGUGUUGUUGGUCUAGCUGUUUUCAUUGGUGGGCCCUGGUUUGUUUAUAGAAAAUAUAGGGAUUCAAGAAAGAAAAGGAGGGAUCGAAUUCGGAAUCUUGAGACAGAUUCUGGGUUGGAUUCCAUUAGUGAAACUAUCGAUUUUGUUAGGUUUACAUUCGAUGAGAUUAAGAAAGCUACUGAGAAUUUCUCUACAGAUAACAUUAUAGGAAAAGGAGGCUAUGGCAAUGUGUACAAAGGGUACUUACCUGAUGGUUCUGAGGUAGCUUUUAAGAGGUUCAAGAACUGUUCCGCUACCGGCGAUGCUGAAUUCGCUCACGAAGUCAAGGUUAUUGCUAGUAUUAGGCAUGUCAACCUUGUUGCUUUGAGGGGGUAUUGUAUAGCCACGACACCAUUAGUGGGUCAUCAGAGGAUAAUUGUAUGUGAUUUGAUGAAGAAUGGGAGUUUGCAUGAUCAUCUCUUUGGUUCCACUAAAGGGAGACUUACUUGGCCUAUACGUCAAAAGAUUGCACUAGGGACAGCAAGGGGACUGGCUUACUUGCAUUACGGGACACAACCAGCAAUCAUUCAUAGGGAUAUUAAAGCGAGUAAUAUACUUUUGGAUGAUAUGUUUGAGGCUAAAGUAGCUGAUUUCGGACUUGCCAAGUUUGCGCUAGAAGGGAUGACACAUUUAAGCACUAGGGUUGCCGGAACAAUGGGGUACGUUGCCCCUGAGUAUGCAUUGUAUGGCCAAUUGACCGAUAGGAGUGAUGUGUAUAGCUUUGGGGUAGUGCUUCUCGAGUUGUUGAGCGGAAAGAAGGCAUUCACUAUGAGUGAUGAGAACCAACCUUCUGUAUUAGCUGAUUGGGUGUGGUCAUUGGUGAAGAAUGAGAAAGCUUUGGACAUUAUUGAAGGUGGCAUGCUGGAGUUGGGGCCGCCGGAAGUUAUGGAGAAAUACGUGUUGAUAGCGGUUCUUUGUUCUCACCCAGAGUUACAAUGCAGGCCAUCUAUGGAUCAGGUUGUGAAAAUGUUGGAAACAGAUAUUUUGGUUCCCCCGAUCCCUGAUCGGUCAAUUCCUAUUGUAGCCAUUGAUGAGAUUGACAAAUCUAUAAGGAAUCGUGAUUUUGGUUUCGAGAAAGGAAGGACAAGUUCAGGCUCUAAAUUAGAAGUUACUCAUAAGCUCAACUCAAAAUAAUAGGAUCAUUGAGUUCUUCAAUGGUGUUCCCUGUUUUGUUUAGACUUUUGCUUCGUGAGCUGAGAGUUAAAUCUGAUGGCAUAAAGAUACAAUAGAUUUACAAUCAAGUUAGAUUCAGUUGAAUUCAAUGAAUAUAUUGGGCAUACGAUAGUCACUUCAAUUUGUAAUAGCGUCUUGUUUUUUUCUCUGCUGCAUGAAUUGAUAUCUUGAAGAAAUGGUGUUUUUUUCUUUUUGGAAAUUUGCUAUGAGCCUUGGCAUAGGAUCUAGUCACAGGUCAAUAUGAGCAAGAAUUCUUAUCUACAGCCUAUGGUUACUCAAAGAGGCAGAUUUUUGCUAUGAGCCUCGUGCAUGAGUAUAAGAUAUGGAUUUGUGUAUAGUGAGUGCAUGCUCAAUUAUUUUUGCAUAUAUUUAGAGAGUUCUUGAACGGUCAUAUCCCUAUACCCAUAUCUGGGCAUACAUGGACACAAUAACUUCAAGAGAUAUAAAGAUCCAGAUCAAAAUAUAAAUGGAACAAGAGAAAGAAGACACAAAUGAAGCAACUAUCGUUCUGUUUAGAAUAUAAAUAUGAUAGUAGUUUACAUAUGAAUCCAGUUAUAGCUUGUAUGGCAUUUCAAUGCUCACAAGUAUUUAGGAACUGAUAAAAUAAGAUAAAUUCUGUUUCUCAAAGCACAUUGACAAGUCCAUUGAAGACCAACCUUCAAUUAUUCCUAUAAGUAGCAAAGGGCUGCAAGCCAUUGAGUAUAUAGAGAUUCUUAAGCUAAGCUUAUAUAGUCACAAUAACAUUUUCUUUCAAAACAUCAACAAUGCUAGGGUUUCUUAUAAUCUUAGGUGGCUUAUAUUGACUAGCUGGAGUUCCAUUCUCUAUUGCUAGUUUUAGUAACCUAUCAAAGCUACCACAUUUCAAAACUGAUAGUGAUAAAGGGCUUAUCUCUCCUUUGUUCCUCUGCACCUUAUAAAUACUUCCUAAACUGUCUUCGAGAUCUGAACAACAUUUUCUAAGGUUUGAUUCCUGCAACUUGUCCUGCAAAAUCAUAUCACAGUCUUUAACUUCAAUAAAGAUCUUCAAUCUCUUAGGACUUGAACCGAAGUCAACGGAACUCGUAAACUCCACAAUCUCUAUCGCCAUGCCCAUAGUAUUUCUCAGUACAAGUUGAAAAUUUUCCAUGGCAGCCAUCAGAUCUCCCUCAGUCACUAUCUCAUUUGAAGUUUUAGGAGCUCGCAUCACAAACUCCAGCAAGGGAGAUGAGUUGUAGAAACCAACAACUCUUACAACAUCACCUAGGCGAUAUCUAUAAAACCCUCUAUAAGUAGUCACAACUACUUCAUACACCUUCCCUACUUCAACACCACAAACAUCCACAGUUUCUUCACCAACAACAUUGUUCUCAGCUAAAUCAAAUGGAAGGAACUCGAAAUAUGCAGCGGUUGGAAGCAUAACAAAUCUAGUCAAAUCAGGUGGUUGCUUGAUAUCCAAGUUAAUGGCCACGCAACACUCUGAUGCAAAGUAAUCCCCACCUACCAGAGGUACCUCCCCUGCAUAGUACUUAAGCUUGGAAUAGUACUGCUUCAUACUACCGGUCAUGACACUUCUAAUAUAUCGAACAUUUGGCCAUAAUUUACUCAAAAUCCCACCCCAAUCCUUCUUUUCAAAAAUCAAUCUAAUUCUAUUUGACAAAUCUGGUUGUGGUCCACCAAGAACCUGAACAACAGAAUCCCUCAUUCGAACAUCAUUAAUCACCGAACACAGGAUCCCUUUUUCAAUAUCAUCACAUAGUUGCUUCCACUUGGAUUCUAAGACCCACAUAGCUUUAAUCAAACCUAUGGCAUAUGGGACAUGAAUAGCAUCUAUAGAAUCAGAAUUUCUAAGACCACAGAGAAGGUGACAGUACAUUUGGUGCUCAACAUUUGAUCCAAGAAUCACUUCCAUGGGGCUGCUGAGAGACAUAAAUAGAGAGCGAUUCGGAUUACUACUACUAUGCAAAGGGAAUGAAGAAGCUGCCAUUACCUUGAAACCCCCUUUCGUUGUUGUAAUGCUAUCGGCAUAUAUAAAUGCUAGCCUCUUAUUCACUUCGGGCCUUGGAGGAAAAAACCUAAAAAUUGAAAAAAAAAAUAAAAAUCAUCGAAUUAACAAAUGUCUUUGAACUGAAAAGAAGAUCAAAUCAUAAUGCACUUAUUUAAAUUUGAAAAAGAAAAUUACUUCCGAAGAACAGCGGCGCUUCCUUGAUGAGCUAUAUGCGACGCCCCUUUUGAAAGCGUUGAAUCAAAGUAAGGUAUCAAUUUAGGCUUCAUUGAACUCGUUCCAGAACUACUCAAAAACAAAGAAGAUUAAAAAGUCAAACAUAUUGAAAUUUUUGUUGACUUCUAAAAGAAAUAAGUAGAGUAGAGUAGAUCAGCUACCUGUAAAAGAAGCAAACGAGAGGAUCAACGUGUUAACAUUAUGAUUAAUGGCAGACAAUUUUAAUGGAAAACAAUCCAAGUUAGUACAAUAAUUUACACGCUUCCGACCCUAUUAGAACAACACAACGGACAAGAGGUGGCGAUGAUCGUGAUCAUCAUCACUGGUGCACUUGUCUCCGUCGGCUAAUUGAUUGAUGUAAUCAGCGUAGUCAUCGUAGCAAGAUAACGGCACGGAGAGUCUAAAAGUGGCGGCGUCGAUCAGGAAAUUGUGAUCUCCAGCACCGGGGAGGUGGCGUUGGAGAUAACGCACGCCGCGCUGGUGUUGGAGGAUGGAUCGGAGAGUCUCGGCCUGAUGACGAGAGAAAUCCUUCGAUGAUUCCUCUAGUUGCUUCAACAACGCGUCGUCUGUCAUCUUAAAGUGAGGCUAGUGGUACAGUUGAUAACCGGGUUCACUUACUGGACAACUUGGUGGUGGCGGUGGUAGCGGAAGACGGUGGCAGUAGAAACAGGCGGGUUGUUUAAAUAAAAAUAAAAAAAAAAGAGAGCAGGGAUUUUGACACGUGUUAUGACUUUUGAAAUUUUGGUACGAAGAAAAUGAAAGAAAGAUGCAUUUGGAUUAUUUUAAUUUUGGACAGCUAGAUUUUAGCUUUAGUCAAAAUGGAUUCGGGUAUUAAAAUAAUUUAAAAAAAUUAGAGGAAUAAAAAAAUAUUUUAAGAUAUUUAAUUAAUAUAAUUAAAACAUAAUCAGAUAUUUUUAAAAUUUAUCUAAAUAUAUUAUUAAAAAUAAAUGAUUUCUCAAAUAAACUUUCGAUAGUUUUAAUUUUUUUAAAUUAAUAAAAUUAAUAAACAUUUUAAAAUAAUUAAUUUUUUAAUUUAAAACUAAUUUUAAAUACUGUACUAGAUUAAUAGAAUUGAAAAACAAAUUAAACCUUUAAAAUUUUAAUUAUAUAUUAAACAAAAUAUUUUAAAUAUAUAUUACUGUAGCAAGUUUUGAAGCAAUUAUAGAAUUCAAUCCCUCAAAAAAAACUAUUUUUAAUUAUUUAUUUUAAAUACUGUUUACAAAAUUUAUUUUUCUAACAUAAUAAAAAUAUAUUAGAUAGAUGGCUUUAAAAAUAUACUGUUUUAAACGAAAAAAAAAUUAAUUUCUUUACCAUAUUAUAUUUAUAAUAUAAAUAAAUCUUAAAAAAAUAAUUUAAUAUAUUUUAAUUAAUACAUACAAUUAACAUAUAUAGCAUUUUAGAUUGUUAUGAUAAAAAUAUUAGGUCGGUUCAAAAAUUUACAUACAUAACAAGUACAAUUAUAUCGACAAAUUCAACUGAUAAAUUGUUAAAAUAUUAAUUGUACAAAAAGAUACAAAAUAUUGUAAGUGAAUCCCUUCUCUUAUUUUAAAUAUAAUAUUUUUUUUCCCAAUAAUUAACUGACUUCACUUACCCAAAGUCCAUUAACAUCAAAGUCCAUCAAUUGAUUUUUGAAAAAAAAUAGUUAAUAAAAUUAAAGGAAAAGUUAAUCUAAUUAAACGAAAAAAAUUAUUGCAAUUAGACCUGAUCACAAGCCAGGCUAGGCUGAUGUUAACUUUUAGGCUUGAGCCCAACCCGACCCGAAAAAUGGACCUAAAACUUUGUCUAAGCUCGACUUGAAUAAAAAAUGCUAAAUCUGAGCCUAACACAACAUGCAUUAAAAAAUUUUAUAUUAUUUUUUAUAUAAAAUAAUAUUUAAAAAAUAUAAUAUAUCAAAUACACUAAAAUAUUAAAAUAAAUAUUUCCUAAUAAAUUAAAAAAAAUUAUACUUAAAUAACACUAACAUAGUUACAACUUAGGAAACAAAUGCCUCUAAUAUAGUAGCAAAAUUAACAAUAAAAUAAGAGUUAUACAAUAUCCAAACAUUAAUAAUAAAAUAGUAGCAAUAUAAUAGUAAAAUGAUAGCAAAAUAAUAGAAAAAUGGCAACAAACGGCAACAGAAUUUUUUUUAGGCCAAUUCAGGUUGGACCUAGCUCAGACCAAAAAUAUUAUUAAGGCCCAACCCAUUUAAAAAAUAAGUCUUAUUUUUUGUCCAAACCCUCCCACUUUUUGAGUGGGCCUGAAGGCCUGGACAAGUGACCCGACCCAUAUCAUGUCUAAUUGCAAUGACAAAAAAUAUAUAUUAUUAAAUUUUAAAUUGUUUUCCUUUCAGGAACUAUGUACAUUACGCAUAUAAAUCCCAAAUCAAAUAUAACUCGGUAAAAAUAUCAUGGGAACCUCUGUAUUGAUAGUCAGAUUGCAUUUUGUCACAUUUACUCAAAAAAUAGACAAAUUAGUCACUAUACAUUAGAUCAAAAAGCAAAUUGAUCAUUUCAAUUAAAAUUUUCAUCAAUUUUUGCUGUUAAAAAUUGGUCUUUGCACGUUAGCAUGAAGUACAAAUGACAUGCCACGUGCAACAGUCUAAUUUUUUUGUCAACCAGACCAAUUUUUAAUAAUACAAAUUGAUGAUAUUUUAAAAGAAAAGACCAAAUUGCUCUUUAAUAUAAUGUACAGGGAUUAAUUUGCCUAUUUUUUAAAUAGAAUGAACAAAAUGCAAUCUGACUCCUAGUAUAAAAACCUACAUGAUAAUUUUACCAAUAUAACCCUAUCGUUUCUAUUUCAAAAUUAUUUAAAGCAAAUUAUAAAUUUCCCGUCAUGUAUGUGUUUUCCAUAUGCUUUUUGAUGGAGAACUGUCUGCUGUAAUCUUCACGACUCUCUGUUUCGGUUGUUUCCGUCGCUUCCUGCUGCCAUUUUCUUUGACAUUUUCAUCUGUUUUUACUACGUCGACUUUCACUAUGUGAUGAUCUGAAGUCCCUUUUGAAGACAAUACCGAAUACGAACCCGGAACGAAUUUGUACGGCGAAUUCGGAGAUGCUAGUAUGUAAUCAACCCGAGUACCGUACUUGCAUGUCCCUUGCACACCUGCAAGCAUAGAAAAAAAUAAAACCAUGCUCGCAUGACAUUCACUGAGAAUUUUAAUCAAACAGUUGGUGGGGUUAUUUUUUUACUUUGUCCUUUGGCAAUCACGACGACGGGCUCACAUUCCCCUGCGAAAUCCUUGGCAUCAGUGUACUGUUUAUUCUUUAGGUAUUUCAUUACUUCAACCUUUGGUGUUGGUUUACCAAUUUCUUCAUAGUACUGUAAAAUAUAAAGUACAUUUAUGGAUACGUUGCUGCUUUCGGAAUUGGGAAUUAAAAUAGGUAAACUACAUUAGUAGUCACUUAACUAUGGAAAAGUAAUAAUAUGGUCAUCCGAUUAUGAAAAGUUAUAAAAAUUUUAACCAACUAUUCAAUUUUAUCAUUUUUUAUCACCAAUUUUUAAAUUUAACAAAAUAGAAACUUUAGCCCUCAACAUCCAUAAAUUGUCAAUUUAGUCACGAAUCUAAAAAAUUUAAUUCUCAACAUUUACACAUUAUGUAAUUUGUUAUUUUUGUUGCAAUUUUAUUUUUCUUUGUAACAUUGAAGUUUAUUUUUAGAAGAAUGAGAAAAAACGAAAAAAAAUGAAAAAAAAAUAAAAAUUAUUAUCUUGAAUUUUUUAGUGUUAUCAUUUUUUUAUAUUUUCAAUUAAAUUUACCUGAUAAAUUUAUUUUUUUAGACUAAAUUAUACAAUGUGUAAAUGUUGAGAGUUAGAUUUUUUUUUAAAUUAACACUAAAUUGACAUAAUGUAUAAACAUUGAUGGUUAAAAUUGUUAUUAUACCAAUUCUAAAAACUACCAUAAACCGAUGAUCAAAAAGACAAAAUUAAAUAGUGAUGUGACAAAAAAAAUAUUUACAAAUAUUUAGGUGACUACUAGUAUAGUAUUACCUAUUAAAAUAUAACGGGGCUCCAUGGAUAUUUACCUUAACAAUAUCAGUCCAUCUCUCUGUGGAGUAAUCUGUUUCCUCCAAGGAAUUGAGGCCUCCAGCGAAAAUGUGUGGACCAUCGUCGGAUUGAAUUAUUGCGUUUAUCUGUUUCAUGCGCCAGUUCUCAUCGAGAUGAUCGAGCUGAGUGCAGUGGAAGUCGAUUUCACCUGUUUGGGGCACAUCAAUGGUUGCUUUUAGGACAUUCCUGUCGUCAAUUAUUCCAAGGGAAUCAUUAGCACAAGUUUUUAGUUCCUUCACUAGUAGAUACAUCAAAACCUAAACUCAGAAACUCGAAUAUGAUUUAAUCAUAAAAAAAAAUUAAUAAUUUGAAUCUCCUAGAAAGGAUUCAAAUCUAAAAUAAUUUGUACUUAAAAUGACUCAAAAUAUUUUGAAUUGAGUGUUAAACCUAAAUAACCAAACCCAAAAUGAUCCGAGUGUCAAACUUAAAUAACAAAACCAAAAUUAUUUAGACUCAAAAAAUUCGAUUGACAAAUCCAAAUUAUCUAAAAAAAAAUAAAGUUAAACCCGAAAUAACUGAACUAGAAAUGAUAUGAACUCGAAUUACUCAGAAAAUUUUAAAAUCCAAAAUGAUUGAUCCAAAUUCACACGACCUAAAAUUAUUCUAUUUCGUUCAAUUGACAUGUCUAGUUUAAUGUCAUGGUUGGACAUUCUUCCCCAAAUAAUUAGAAAAAGCUAGCCACCCGUUUAGGUAAUACGUUAAUGUAAUUUUUGGCCACCCUUGAACCUAACAAGUAAAUCUAUACAUGGGUCAGGCUUGAAUAAGUUUUUUUACACUUCAGAUAGAUCUGACCCGAAUUGUUAAAAGUUAAUUUUAAUUAUAAACAUAUACUUUUUAAAUUUUUGAACAAUGAAACAAGCUUUUUAUAAUUUUUUUUAGAACCAAGCCUCGAUUUGUCAACCCGACCCAUGGACACCUCUACUAAUAACUAAUUGUACUUUUUUUUAUUCACUUUUAUACCUGAACUAGAAACAAAGUCAACUUUAAUACUUAAACUUAAAUACUUAAAUAUAUGAUAACGUGACACUCUUAUUAUAUUAGACAAUUAAACAUGCGAUCUAACAUGGACUACAAAGGCAUUGCUUAUAGCUAUUAGUAAAGAAAUUUCAAAUAAAGUAAUUUUUCCAUUAUCUUUUUUGCAAGGUUUUUGAGAAACAUUGGUAAAUUGUAGUGUUUCAUUAAUUCAUCUAAAUAUAGAUAUGCCAGCAAUACAUUUUACCUAACUUUUAAUUUGAUAUACAUUCAAAUCAUGAUUUCGUUUUCCCAUGAAACAAACAGAAAAUAGAAGUUGGAAAAAGCUUGUAGCACUAUCUUCUUCUCCAGUUUAAGUAAUGUUAACAACUAUCAUUCACUUUUCAUCAUUGUCACAAUUCUAUAAUUUCCCCACAAGAAAAAAAACAAACAUAGCUAAAAACUAUGUGUUUGGUUAAAUGCUAUUUUCUUUACUAACUUUACCCACAAAGUCCACAUAACCAUUGAUGUUGAGUGUCUAUUUAGUGUUUUUUUUUUUUUAAAUAUUCAUAUUCAAUAUAGGUAUGAGGAUAUGUCACUCAAAAAUAAGAUGACAAAGGGUGAGGUGUGACUAGAGCGAAAUCAGAAAAUUUUUUUAGUUAAAUUAAAAUUUUAUAAAAUUUAAAGGAUCAAAAAUAGAAUUUUACAUUUUAAAGGGAUCGUCUCUAUGAUCCCCUCCCUUAGGGGUCGCAUCUAGGUGUGAUGAUUUUUUAUUUGUCUAAUUUUUAUACCUACACCCAACCAUUAAAAAAAAAGGAUAAUCCUUUACUCUUACUUUGCUCACCUUGAAAUAUUAAAUUAAUAUUUAUAAAAUUAAAUAAAAUCUUAGGUUAUGACAAACAAUAUGAAUGAAAAAAAUUUAGGUAAAAGAUAUAUUUAUAAAAAAAGUUUAUAUUAAAACUUUUGUUUAAAAUAAUUAAGUUAGAAGUUUUGAAGAUGAUGUAUCUUUUAUGUUCAAAUCCCAUUACAGUAAUAUUUUAUUAAAAAUACUUUUAUAUUAAAAUUUAUUGCUUUCAACUUGAUGUCUGCUUGACUCAUAACACCAACUCAUUAAAACUUUAAAUAAUAGAUAUAUUAUAAAAUCUUAUAAUAAAAAAAUCUAAUUAAAAUAUAAAAAUUAGUCAUAUAAAAUUAGUUAUAAAGUAAAUGAGGGGUAUUUUGAGUAGGUAAAAAUUCAAUCUCAACUUAAACUCAAAAAAUUUAAUUAAAGCCAACCCAUUAAGUUCACUUUUUCAAAAGGCUUCCAAAUACAUAUAUUCAUUCGAAGCUCUCGAACCCAACUAACGUAGGGUUAACUAUUACUUGCAGUGAUAAGACUUCAAUUAUUGGAAGAUAGGUAGGAAAGUUAGCCCAAAUGAGAAGAAAAAGUACAAAAAAAAAAAAAAGAGUAGAAAAUUCUGGGAAAAGAAAAGGAAAAAUAGGUUGGAGCUGCAAAACAAUGUGGUAAUUUUCUUAUAAAUUUUUUCCCUUUUGGGUAAAUGGGAAAAUAUCGGAAAAAAAAUAAAUUAGUGUAUAAAAGAUGAAGAAAGUGGGUGCAAGUCCGUUUAUCCUGUCAAACAAUAUACAGCUGUUUAUGAAAGAUAAUUGUUUGGAAGUACAUGGUUAUGCAAUGACGAUGAAGACGAAAAAGAAAGAGUUGAAGUUUUUACUUUAAAAUUAUUUGAUACUUGAUUUGGCAGUGUUCAAGGGACCAUUCUUGACUAAAAUGAUUUGGAUGUCGGUUAGUUUUGUAUAAGUCAAUUUAAAUAUAAUUAUUUUUUAAUUUUAAAUUUUCGAACUUAUUUUGUGUUAAAAUUUCGAGUUUAGAUUAAUUUAGAAUUUGAAUUGUUUCGAGUUUUAAUUAUUUUUGGGUUAAAGUUGGGUAAUAUUGUUUAUGAUUAAUUUUGGUUACUAGUUAAAUUAAAAUCUCAAGUUUGAAUCAAGAUUUAUAAUAAAUGAUAUUUUGUGGUUAAAGAUUUCAAACUUAAAAAAAAAGUCUACUAAAUGUUAUUGUCCUUCAGGGUUUGUUUCCCUACUCGAUCAAGAACUAGAGUGCUUGAAGAAUCUACCUCUUUUAGCCCAUGGGUAGUAUACUUGACCAACAAUGCCCUAUAGAUUAUAAAGUAUGGGUCUAAAUCCAUCCAAUGGUAAGUGAAAUAUUUUUAUUAUGUGAACCCACCAUCGUUGUUUUUUCAAACACUCAAGUUCGGGGGACAAACUUUUAGGAAUUUCUCACAUAAAUACUAAAUUUUUCAAAAUCAUCGUAUAAUAACCUAACAUUUACAAAAGUGAUCAAAUAAAUAUUUUUCAAAUAAUUCAACUCAAUUUAUAGUAAAAAUGUUAGACUUUUCCAAGAGUCGUGUAGUCCGCCCAAUCCGAUAGGCUUGGGCCAAGUAUUUUUCACCUCGAAUUAACUUAAAUUCAUUUUAAAUAAUAAAAAAUAUUUUUAAAAAUUUAAAAUAUUUUUUAAAUACUUUAUUAAUUUUGAAUAGUAAAACAAGUUGUUUUAGCAAGUCGACCCAAAAGUAAAAGUUUGGACUUUAAAAUUUUUUUGGAACCGAGUUGAUUCAGGACUUUCAAAAAAAAUUUGAUAUUGAAAUGUUUUAAGUCUUAUGCGAACAACUCUAAAAAGUUGAACCAAUUUAAAUAUUUAACUGUUCCUUAAAUACUAUUCAAAGGGUGAAUAAAAAAAUAAAAAUAAAAAUUGAAAACAUUUAAAGACGGUGAAGUAAAAGAAAAUUUACUCACCUGAAAUCUGCGUCAUCAAAUAUCUUCUGCACUUUCCACCGCUUAAUCGGCCACUUCGAAAGCACGGCGUUGCCGUACUCCGGCGCCCAACUCUCGGCAAACACGUAGUUCAUCCCCAACGCAGCUGCUAAAUCCGACAAAGGUCUCAUCCCUUUCUCUUCCUCCGCUUUCACAUCUUGCAAACCCAAUAUAUCUGCGUCCAAUUCUCUCAACACUUCCAACACCGUUUUCCUACUUCUAUAACCUUCCCAAUCAUCGAACCAGUUCCCCAAAUCCGUCGAAAAACUCACCGGAGCUUUACAACGACGGCGACCACCACCCUCCUUUUCAUUUUCCGAGAAGCUCAAUUGCCGGUUUCUCAGCAACGAAAUCUCAUUAUCUGGUAAAUUAAUCGACACCCUCAGCUUAGAUUUCACGAAUUUUUGUUGUUUCGUGAGACUAUCGUUUUCGUUCAUGGAAUUUUUGUUGUUUGUAGAUUUUGUAAAACCUUCAUUAUCGUAGUCAAAACUCGAAGAUUUAUCUGGUUUUGGCAUUGCAGGUGCCAUUGAAAACAUGGCGGCAUUGAAAGUCGCUAUACGAAUUGGCCUCGCCGACGCCGAGUUUAAAACACCCGAUUCGCCAUUUUGGUGAAUUUGCGAACCUCCAUUCACGGUAUCAUCGUGAGGUUUGGUGUAGACUUUAAUGACGAUUUUGGAAUUUGAACGGCAACGAACCGGCCAUCGGAGACGAGGGAAAAGGCCUUUGAUUCUUUUGUGGAGGAUUUUGAGCAUAGUGGAUAAAUGGGUUUUGAACAAAAUGGGUUCUAUAGCUUUUGAUGAUUGCAUGAGAAAUUGAAAACAGGGAAAAAUAACGAUGAUGAAAUGAAAUGGAAAUUGAAAGCUAUUUUUGUAGAGUUAGAACACUGGUUAGAGGUGUAAGAGAGGAAGGAGUCUUGCUGGAAAGGGUUUGGUGACACUUGGGUAAACACAAAGAAAGGGUUGAAUUUUUAAAGAUUCUAAAUUCUAAAUUUUAUAACUCGAGUUGAGUGAUAAAGAUGUUCGAUGUUCGGAUCUCAAAAUCAAAUCUUUCGAUUAAUUGGAUAAAUCAAUUCAACUUGUUAAACUAAGAAUUUAUGGUCUAACUGAUAGUAUAAAAUUAGAUAUAGAUAAGAUUAUUUGUGAAUCAGUAAAAAAGUGAUGACUAAACCACUUUAUAAUUUUAUUGAUUUAAUGAUUAUUAAAUUAAUAAUUGAAUUAAUCAAAUUAAAAAUUACUUAUUUUAUUUAUCCGAAUUUUAGAACCGAUUUAAAAAAAAUUAAAAUUUAAAGAAUAUAAAUUUGAUGAAAGAUUAUGGAAAGGCAAUCUUUUUUGAAAGGAAAAUUUGUGGGAGAUUAAGAUAAUGGGAAAAAGCUAACCACUCCAACUAAUAUGCAUUUAAUUAUUGAUACUAAGUCUUUAAUUAAGAUUCUUAUCCUGCUUACAAAAUUCCCAUGCAGUUUCCUUAGUGGAGCCUACCAUAUUUGAACUCAGAGAUCAAGUAUUGGCAAAUGACUUGCUUUCAUAUCCAAACAAGAUUGAGUUGGUGUGGGGUUAGAUUUGUUGAUUUCCUCCUAAAUUCAAUUCCAUAAUAAAAAAUUAUUGAAAUUUAAAGUAAUUUAAAUCUAAAAACAAACUUAAAAUGAUUCAAAUCUUAAGUAAUGUGUUGAUUAAGUCUUAGUUUAAUUGAUAUGGGUAUUAUUGCCAAUGCAGGAGGAUGUGGGUUCGAGUGUUUUAAAGUACAUUUUCUUCCUAUUUAUAGAUUGGGAGAGUUAUGAGUAGUUCUAAGCCUGUAACCGUAUUUCCCCUUCAUUUGAUAUUUCAUCUUAUUUCAUACUCCAAACAAAAUAAGGAUAGGGCAAAUUAAUGACAUUUUCUAUUUGCACCACCUGCAUUAAUCGAAAACUCUCAUCCCCUUCUCUUUUACAGAUCAUUUUUUUUAUGAAAUAAUUUUGAACGUCAUGAAUCUACGAACCAAAAUCUAAACAAUUUUUUUCUCCGAUCUAGGUAUGUUCUUCUACUCAUCGAUAGAUAUUAAACCACAAUACCGAUUAUCCAAUUGUCGCUUAGAGCUUGCUAGCUGGACUUCAAAAAAAAAAAAAAACUCAGCCCAAUAACUUAAAUAAAAACUAUCAAAUAGUUCAAUGUUUAUUUUGAGACUUUUUGGAGUUAAGUGAUCAAAACAUAAAAAUGUUAAUAAUUUAAUUAUAUUAAAUGUAGUUUACAUAAAAUAAAAAUAAAAAGAGAAUUAAGAAGUUUCCAUUUUUGGGCCCAAAGAACAGCUUGUAAAGAUCAAAGGAAAAUUAAAUUUGGCUUAAUAGAGAAUCUUGGUUUUUAGAGUUUUUUCAGCGUGUUCAUAUUUACAAGCUUAUAUUGCUUGUAUCUUUAAAUGAUUUGUUUACAAAGGUAAAAUUUUAUUAUUAGUCCCUAUAUUAUAUGCAAGUUUUGAAUUUUGUUACUUCAUUAUAAUUUGGUUCAUUUUUGUUUCCAAACUUUUUAAAUUUUAAAAUUUUAAAAAAUCUACUAUUAAUCGUGUACUAUGCAUAAGGUUUGAAUUUAGUCCUUAUUAUUUAGUUUGAUUAUUUUUAGUCCUUAUUCAAACAAUAGUCAUUAAUCUCAUUAACUAAAAUAACAUGCUUUUUAUGAGUAAUAAGGGGAAACAACAUGGUAACAUGGUAUUACACACGUGAGACUAUGUUUAUCGUACGAUAUUUAGAAAUAAUAAAUUUAAUGCCAGUUAAAUUCAAAUUUAGUGCAUGUACCACGCGUAAGUUGUUAAAUUUUUCCGUAUAUUUUAAUUUGAUCAUUUUUAAUCCCUAUAAUUUUUUAAUUUUAAAAAUUUUUAUUUUUGACCAAACGGUAGUUGUUACAUUCAUUAUGUUAUGCUAUUUCCAAAACUUGACACAACAAGCAUAUUAUUACAUAUGUAAUCUCAUGCUAGCUUGUUAUUUCCAUAUAUUACUUUGAGAAAAACAAGUUCAUGGAUUUAACAAUUGUCAUUUGUAUCUAACACUAAAAUAUUGAAAUUGAAAAGUAUAUGACUAAAAAUCAUCCGAAUAGAGGCCAUGAACUAAACCUACAGCUUUACAUAUAUACAAGGACUAAUAACAAAAUUUAAUCAAUUGAAUUUAAAAGACUAAAAUUUCAAAUUUCUAAAAAUGUCAAAAGAAAAAUACAUUUGACCAAAUUAACAUAGACUAAAUCUAUUAUUUACGCAAAAUAUAGACACCAAAAGUAAAAUUUAACCAUUUAACACUUACUAAUUAAGUCAUGGGCUGAAAUUUCAAAAUUUAAAAAAAAAAUACAUAAAAUAAAAAUAAUGUGCAUAAAAUCUCAUACACCAUCGAUAAAAAAUGACACGAUACAUUUUCAUUAAAUUAAAUAAAAAAUAUAAAGAAGUUAUAAAUAAAUACUAUUAAUUUUAUUUAUAAUUUAAAAAUUUAAGAUUUAAUUAUAAGCAAUAGUAGAAUCAUGGUAGGUCCCAUGAAAGAGUCCUUGUAUGGCCUGCAUCGCACAGAUAUAAACAUAAGAGAAUUGUGUGAAGAGGGGACAAAAGGGCAUCCACUAAAAGUAUGGUAUGGUUAUAAAAAAGAAGUGGAAAAUGAUUUGUAUUUAAGACAAUAUUAAAUAUGUGGGUCUACUUCAGAUUUGCAUUUUCAAGGAAGAUACCACAAGCUUCAGUUUUGUAAUUUUUGUUUCUUGGGACAGAAAUUAAUAUCUGAGGAAUAUUGGCUUUCUUCUUAAAAUUAUAAAUAAUACAAUUAUAUAAAUUACAGAGAAAUAAAAAAUCAUAACAACUGCACAUGAUAAAAUAAAAGUAGAAGACUUAUACAUGAAAAAUUGAGUUUAGAAACCCGAAGAUCCAAGGCUUCAGUCUUGAUAAUCAAUAAUACCAAGAUUUCUUGCAAAUUCCAUGGUUUUGUUGUGAUUAAAAAUGAAACCCAUUAGAGAUGUAAUUUUUUUCUUUUUUUCCAAAAGUUGAUUUCAUAAAGUUUUACACAUACCAAAUGCCAACAAAGCCACAAAUCCAGUUACAAUGAACACUUGUACUAGACAAAGCCCCAAAAAGCUAAUAAAUUAAUUCUUUAAAAAGUCUUCCCACCGAAUUUUAAAACAAUAAAAACAAACAAGAGAUCCUAACAAGUUAUGACGAUUUUUUCAAUCAAUAACACUUUCAGCGGUGAGUUUUUUUUUUUUUUUUUAAACAGUUCCUUGCUCUCGUGGCAGUAAAAACAUCUUUUAACUUGAAACAACAAAUGUAAUCUCUAAAAAUAAAUCACAAAUCACCCAACAGAUAAAAAGAAAACAAGUCACCACAAAACUCAAGCGACAAACUCCACAACACACAAUCACCCAAACAUUAUUCUCAUAUAGAUUGUACACUACAAUUUUUUUUUUUUUUUUUUUGUGGACAAAAUAUUAAACCUCAAAACUCAACAAAUGUUCACACAGAGCAUGUUCCACAUGGGCCAUGUUUUACCUAUUCACCCGUUAUUGCAUUACCACUUUGACAACAAUUAUUGAGAUUUUUAUAAUUGGGUCAAUUCAUUGUAUAUUAUAUAUAUAUGUGCCUCUUAGUCACUUCUUAGUAAGGUCAAUUCAUAUACAUAUAGACAUAGUUCAAAGGAUUAUUCAAAAAAUAUAGUUUAAAGGAAAAAAGGAAAAUGCUAUUUGCCAAGGUAUCCCCAUUCUAUCAAGUGGAAAUAUAUAUAUAUAUAUCAUCUAUAUGUAUGAAUAGAUCAUCCCUGUAUUAAAAAUAGGCAGAUGUUACAAAAGAAUAUACUCCCUUUCAACAUAUAUUUUUCUUUUGUUGUUUUUAAACUGAUAUAGUACAAAUUAUGUACACAAUCCCUCCCAAGAAACCAUUUCUACUCUUUAAUAUUAAGCAAUGGUGCUUUUCUUUUAGACCAACCGUGAAGGACAAAGUUCAAAUAUAGCAAGAACCUGAAUUGAAGUUCCAUUUCAUGGCUGUUUUGUUCAUGUUUAGAGCAGUGUAGCAUUUAGCAUUUUCUCCAACAUGGUAAUCGAAGAGACUAUGACCACCAUAAAGCUUCUUGGCCACCGAAGAAGAAGCACAAACCAAUAUUCGAUUGAUUCCGUAUGUCCGUAUGUUUUACUCAGCUUGUUUCGUGAAUACCUGUGAAAACUCUUGCAACCGAAAGUGCAUCAGUGAUGGUGACUAGUCAGGUUUAGUGUACUCAAGUAGCAUGUGCGGUGAUCUGUAAAUCUUCACUAGGGUCCAGUAAAGGACCUCUUCGACUCCAAGCUCACCCUCUGCUCUUGCAGCAUAUAUAUCCUCACAAAUGGCUAUCAACCUACAUCAAAACCGGAUAAACGGGUGUAGGUGAAAUAAGAAAUGAAUGUAAAUGUUCUCCAUGCUUUCGUCCUUUAGCCUUCGGCAUAAGGAAUUCUACCAUAAAAUUUUCUUAUAAGGAUGCAUAUAUAUAUGUACGUGUAUAUAUAUUACCUGUCACAGGAAGGCAGGUUUUCAUACGGUAUUCUCAUUCUUAGGUCGGAGCAUUGAAGCCUGAUAAACCGGCCAACAGCUAGUACAAAAGUUAUGUAGAGACCCCAAAUGCUGAAUUUGCUUAGUGUGUCUCCAAGAAUACCCUCUGUUGCAGUAUUGCAAUAUUAAUCACGACGACAAAAAAAAUCAUAAAAAGUUACUAUCGAAAUAAAUAUACAACAAAAAAUAGUUUUCGAGAACUGACGUGGUGGAGUUUCUUCGGAUACUACAAUGGCCAUUGGUCCUGUGAAACCUCCACAGUGAACCAUAUCAGAUGAAUUGAUAAUAUGGAAGGACCACCACUCGAAAGUUGCUCGAUUGAUAACAAGAUCUGCACUCACUGAACUGACUGAAUUUACCUGUAGAAUUUGGUUUCAAGUCAAUGAUAUAUUAUCAAUGGCAAUAAUAGAAAACAGAAGUUAACAAUGUAUCAUGAAAACAAAACCCGAAUGAAAAGUGCUAUAUACCUCUUGCUCAAAAGUUCUGACUUCACCAGAACCGGUAACACGGAAGUAUCUUGAAUAAAGAUUGUAUACCCUAAAGCCAUUUGCAGAGCCAUUGAAAACCUUUUGAACAUCAGAUCGAUCGGGAAGAUCCUUAGGAUCUAGAGGUUUUUCAUAUUUCACAACUUCCUUGCCUUUUGGCCGAUCCCUUGAAAGCAGCCAAGUAGAUGUGAUACCCAUGUCCAUAUCCCAGUCAAGGGACUGAAUAAAUCUUCUCUGAACGACGUUGGGAACGAGCCACAAAGUACUCGCAUCUGCUUGGCAGCAUAUCAAUUGUACAUCAUUCUUAUUGUAGGUGUCCAAAUAAUUUAGGGGAUCUAGACUAGCAUCGGAAUUGAGCUUAUCCCAUGGGAUCUUUUCACAGAGGGUAGUAUGAUACAAGGUCAACCUUCCACCAAUGGUACUGAUGUCUAUUUGAAAAGUUGCAUCUUUGAUGGGGUUUGCAAUAUUUGUCGGAUUGCCACUGCUGUACAUCUGGCAGAACCAAAGCAAAACAAAGUUAUUGAUGGAUCGAGUUAUAGAAUGCUUCUUCCACCUGAUCACAAGUAACAAUAUACCUAGAUAUCCAUAGGUGUACAUGACUUAUGGUAAAAACAUUAACGAUGCCUGCAGGCCCACAAGUAACGAUAUACAUUUUCCUCAUUUUCACAAUAGCAAUCUACAAAUUACAAAACCCCAUUUCCCGACAAAAAUACAUGCACACAAGAUAUUAGUGGCACAUACAUCCAAGAACAUGGAGUUGUUUUAUAAUGCUUCAAGCAGAAAGUUGCCAACUCAAGUGUUUGUUUUACAUAUUCAGUGGUCCUGGACACCUAGUAUUUGCAUGCACAUGACUCACUAUCCACAUGGAAAAUUACGAAGGAAACAGGUCCUAGCAUACCAGGAAUGAGAAAGAAUAACAAAAUGCCAAUAAUCAAAUGGAAUCCCUUCUGAGAAAAGUUUCUCAAAUGGUUUUUAGGUAAUAAGUACUAGACAUCGAAAAACAUAUCGUGCAAAUAGUAGAUCUGGUUAACGGUUAUGAAGUCUCUUACCAGCAUAGGAGCCCAGAUAACACAAAUUAAGAUAAAGAACAGACAUAUCCCAUUGCAGCACUUGGUCAUUUUUGUUUGCUUUUCUCCUUGUUUGUGCUGAGCUCUAUUCAACAAAGCAUCGCAUUUCACGAGGUACAGGCUUGCAUUUAUGUCUUCCAGCUAAGGAAAAAAGUGACAUGUUAGUUCUAAAAAUCAACAAGAAACAAUUCAAUCAAAGAAUCCCUGCUUACUGAAAAUCAAAACAACUAUUCUUUAUAAAUAAUAAUAAUAAAAGAAACUCUGAACUUACUUUGAGCCAGUCAUACAUGGUCAAAGAUGUUGUUGUGCAUGACCAGUCAAGUACACAUCGUAAUUCAUAAAGAAAUGGUAGAGCCCGAUAAAGUCUAUAGCCUAAGUAAUUAAUUCGUGAGACCUCACUGGUCAAAAACUGUCGAAACAAGGUGCUUUUAUGAGGAAUUCCAUGUCGGAUUUGUACAGCCUGAAGUGCUAGAGAAACUGCUUUAGCAAGAAAUAUAGCACGCAGUACUAGCCGUGCAGCAUGCUGGUCGGAAGGUUCCAUUCGCCAAGCAUACUGUGUAAUCGAAUAUGUGAAGAGAACAAAAUUGAAAAGGUAGAAAACAACUUUUGCUGUUGCAAAUGAACAGAGAUAAAGUAUUCGAUCAACAACAAUCAAGAAAAAAAUGAUCUGCAAAAAAUAAUAUGACCCAGUUAGGAUUAGAUCACAGCAUAUCAAGCCUAUAGUAGCCCAAGUAAGAAUGCGAAGAAAUGACAACUAAGCCAUUAGAAAUAGUCGAGCAAAGUUAAGAAGAGAAAUAAGAAAUAAACUUACAAUCAAGAUAGUUACAUAUUCUAUAGGAAAUUGAUCUUCUAGCUGAUAAACAUCAAGAAAUUCACUCUUGUUCUUUAUGACAGACUGGUAGAACAUUGCAACUAGGAAAAACACAGUCAGAUCAGCAACAAAUAUGUAAGCAUACAGAUCAAAUUCCCUUUUUCCACCACCAAUUACAGAGAGUAUUUGGUAUGGGAAUCCCGUUGCUUCAACAAGCCCAGCACGCUGUGCCUCAAGAAUUUCUUUCGCCACAUCAGCUGCUGGAGUUAGUGACUUGUACCAAUCUGCUGAGGUACAUCCUGUCAAGGGAGAUGCAUACACCACCUCAAAAACAAUCAGAGCCACAUUUGGGCUUUCUCGACUUCUUUCAAUGCUUUGAACCUGGACCCUACUAGCAAAUGGACAAUUACUGGGGAUUAUUUGAGUACAUCUCUCAUCAUGAACUAGCCUAAGCAGUUGGUUCAUUCCAGACUCAACCUUUUCUGGCUGAAUCCCAUCCUCUGGCCACAAAUGAACAUCCACCGAAACUUGAAUAAAGUAAGGAGGAGUUUCCGCUCCCUGUAUCAAUGAUUUCCAGUACCAGAAGAAGCUUCUAAUUACCAGUUUCGCCGUAUUUAUUACAAAUUGGAACAACUCUGAUACCCUUUCACUCCAGCUAUAGUUCACAAGAACCUCUUUUCUACAAAGAGAACUCCUCCUAUGGGAGUUAUAGUCAGUAGAGGGCAUCCAUUCACCAUCUUUUGCACUUAUAGAGCUUUGUAAGAGGGUAAAUAAGUACACAAGAAAUAGAGGCAACGAACUCACAACAAAUGACGAUUUGAUUUCACGAGCAGGAAAUCCUAUUUCACGGAGCAGGUCUGACAUGAUACUCAAUCCACAAUGCUGGAUUACAAUUUGAUACAGAUACUGAAGCAACAUAUAAACUUCCGUGUAAAUCAGCAUGACAACCCAGAAGAUAUAAGUCGGACCUGUAUUCACACAUAGAGCAUACAAGAAAAGAGCUGCAAGAUACACCAUAGAUAGCAAACUGAAGUUCCAUAGAAAGACAAGGAUAAACAAACAGUAGCACACAACAUCGAUAUUAGACCACAUCUGGGACCAUAUAUGCCGAAAGAUCCGCCCCAGCUGCAAACUCGUAGCAUCAGAACUUUUAUCAGAUUGCAGAGAAGAUGAACGGUUCAAAUGGAUAUUCUGCAUCUUUUGGCCCUCCAUCUCAUCAAAGGCCUCAUCCUCACCAGAUGAGUGCUCAUUCAUAUCGGAAUCUUCUGGUGCAAUGUUUAAGAAAUUUACAAGGUUAUUAACUGCCUGAUUUCCAAUAGACUGUACCUGGGAAACGCCAUCACCGAGGAGGUGUACUGCAGAAAUCAAAGGAUGCUCCUUUGCUUGGUUUUUCCUACUUCUCUCUGAAUCUAAAAAAGCACUAUCAGCAUCAGAUUCAAUUUCAGUGAUCUCACAAGGUGCAUAUUCCAUUGAAUUCUUUGGAGAUUCCACAACUUCAGGAUUUUCUGCUUUCAUAUAAGCAGCAUAUGUGUGUGUUUCAGGGGGGAACACUGAAUCUUGUUUAUCAACUUGUUCUUGCUUCCAAAGAGAGCUUUCCUCUUUGUCAAGAGGCCCAACAUCCCUACUUGAAGUAAGAGAAGUCCUCCUCCUCCGCAGGCCUUCAUCGUCAGGAGAGACAUCACCAAAAGUUGCAACAGAAUUCAUGCUAUGGAGCUUUAUUUGCAAGUUAAGCAUCUCAGAUUUCAUCUUCUCCACUUGCAAGUUGCGUUGAUGUUUCUUCUCCUCAGCUUCACGAAUCUGUUGCAACUGUGCAGUUUUCCAAGCAGCUUUUUUCUCUUGCUCACGUACAAUGGCACCAAUUUGCUCCGCUUCAAGGUAUCGUGACACAUAAUCAGACUCGUGGGAGGAAAACAUAUAUGACUGAAGUGAUACCAACAUAAAUAUCACAAUCUCAACAAGUGCGGAUCUGGCAGUAAUUCGAAACCCAUAGUCAUACUUGUAAAAUCCAAUGACUUCAUAUAUGUAGCUCACAGUAUUGCACUUUCCAGAACUAAACUCCCCCACGAAAGGUGAUUGAUAGGCAAGAGAAAGAACGAUCACCACAAAGUUGUAGAUACGCAAGAACUUGAAUAUUUUAUUCUUUUUCUUGAGAAUUUCAAGCCUCAUCCGGAAAAAAACAAGAGCAAAAGCAAGAUAACCCAGGUGCAGAAUAUCAUACUCAAGAGUUCCAGUAAUCAAAAUCAAUACAAGGACCAAGUCCAAUAGAUGGCAAUAACAAUAAAGCCUUACAUAGUCAAGAAAGGUCCACAUGCUUUUGGUUUCAAAAGAGAGAUCUCGCCAAACAAAUGAAUUUUCACGUUGAGACAACAUUUGCCGAUAUGUUGAUGAACCUGAGAAAUCAGACAAGUGAUCUGCACGAAGCUUAAAACAUGCCAGAAGAAAGACCAAGAAAUAGCUAAUAAGCAUUCGGGGAUCAUCAAUGAUCAGUCCUGCAGGAAAAGGAGAAAUUAACAGCAGAUUAGUUUGAACCUCCAUCAUAGGCCAAAAUUAAAUAAUGAAUUGAUAGAUAACUAUGAACCACUGACAGGAAUAGACAAACUCUUCCAAGCAUAAGCUAAUUUAAGCUAAGUUAGAAAACAGUCUAAAAUUGUUCAAAUGCCCGUGUCAAAGAUACCAGACUUCUUGUAGAAAGAAAAAGGAUAAAACAUGGCAAAGUAACAUAGAUGAUAAUGCUAAAAUAAGAAUCAUUAAGUCAAUUUUCUUCUGCCAGUCAAAAGCAAAGUAUAAUAAUUUGUGCAGUGCUUAUCUGCCCUAUUUAAGCAAUAAGCAGAUCCAGAGAUUAAUACCCAGCCAACAGCUCCUGCAAUACUGAAAAUAUGAAGCCGAGCUUUUCCAGCAGUCAUGGCAACAGAUUUCAGACUGACUUGGCUUAUUUUGAUUCAGAGGGAACAUACUCUUCCAAAUGGCAAAAUACUCGAGGAUGAGAACAGAAGCAAACAAGAAGACAAGAACUGGCCAUAAUUUACGAAUAAUCUGCCGAUUCAAAAGAAUACAAACAGCAAGCACUGCAAUAUAUAGCAUAGAGAUGGCAUUCAACAAAGCAAAACUUGCGAGAAGCAAAGCAAUCAUGUUAAUCUCCAGGCCAUAAAGGCUAAACAUGUUCUCUAUCCAGAAUUUCAAAUAUAUUUUUAAGAGAGCCUUCUGUGUUUCAAAUCUCUCUUUCCUUAAUGCAAGGAUUCGCUUCUUGUUCCACUUAUGACUCUCCUUGGUGCUUCCCCAGAAAUAUCCAAAUGAAAAUUUUCUCACACCAUUAACCUCAGAACCUCCUGCUGCUUUGGAGGACCCAUGAUGAGGUGCUUGAGAAAAAGCACUGCUCAAAGAUGACCAUGAAUUGCUUGCUGCUCUGUCUUGUCUUAUAGGUUCUGUCCCAACACUAGAAGAUGGCUUAUCUUCCCCAUUAGACAUGUAGCCAUUGGUGUAGUUAUCCUCUGCUGGUAAAAAUAAAGGACAGGGCUCUUCCCAUUUGCGUUUCUUGGAAAUACCACUUGGCAUAUUAUCCAACCAACGGAAGACAUUGUACUGAAGGAUGCAUGCAGCAAUUACCAGAACCUUUCCUCUCAAGCCUGAUUCUAUACCCCAAAAUCCUGGCUCAUAUGCACGGAUACCCAAAAAGAGCGACAAAUCAGAAUGCUUUUGCCCUGGAAACAUUUCAGCUUGUUUACCCCACAUCUGAAAAAGAUACUCUGAUGUAACCAGAAAUCCCGUAUAAACUAAGAAUGAUUUGGAUGGGAUUUGAGAAGCUUUAGGUAAUGUUGAACAUAUGACAAGGCCAAGUAGAUACAAGAAUCCAAAAGCACAAAUUGGAGAUAAAGAUGCAUAGAAUAAUGAGACAAACAGGACCUUCUGGCUGUGCCAAAUCAGAAACCGCUUGGCAAAGCCAAGUAUCCCAGAACCUAAAGGAUUGGGAUGGUAAGUUCUGUUGUACUUGCUCUGCCUCCUUUCAUAGCUAUAAAGUUGCAUCACAAUUAGAACAGCUAGAGAUUGCCAAAUAUUAUCCAACAAUGAAGCUUCAGGAUCAUAACCCAAAUAAAAAUAGAGAUUUAUAAACCCAGAGAGCCAAAUCUUAAAGCUGGUAAAACUGCUUAAGCUAUAGAUAAUAAUGAACACCAUAAUUGCAUAUAUUUUUAAUGGAAACCAUAGGCGCCUUUUAGUUCUCUCAACAAGUUGUCUUCCAAUAAUCCAAACAAGGAGAAGGAAGAUGUAUCCAAAUGAUAUAUAGUUGGGUGUCACCAUGUAUACUGUGAGAAGAAUAGUCAGCAAAGCAAUGUAGGUUCCACAUGAUCGAUAUAUUGAUAAAAACUUCUGCCCAAUUUCGCUAAGGAAUGAUGCUAUCCUUCUCUCUGAAUAACAUUAAAACAAACAAGUAAAAAAAUGCUGUCAAUAGAAGUUUAGAGGUAGAAGCAGUAAUGGAAAUAUUGAUAGACAAAUGAGUAACAGAAACAAAAUAUUAUAAUAAACAAAAUGGCCUAGAGACAGCUAUCUUGAACAUUCCUAGAAGUCCAAAUUCAUCAGAAAGCAGACAUCUCAUUGUGGCCUAAGGUCAGGCUAAGAACCAGCUAUAAAAUAAUCAAAAAGUAUUUACAAUCAUGUCUAGAUCCAUAAAGCCUGCACAUCAUAGCAGGAUGAUACCAACUUGUUCUAGGUUUAGUUUGCUAUAAUAUUUGAAUAAAAUGUAAGGCAUGAAAUUUAUUAAACGGUUCUCUACUUAGAAUGCAAGUACAGACAUAAAAACAGUCAAUUUUACUACCAAGUUUCCCAUACCUGAUGAACAUAACAUUUCGACAUUCAUAUAAAAUAAGCUAAAAUAUAGGACUACCUAUCAAAAUAAUUUUAGCAUUUGCAAUUAAUAGUGGAAAACCAAACUUUUUUUAUAGGUAUUUUCUUUUUCAAUUUUAACAGCCAAAUUUGGACAGAAAUUUUGACAUGCAUAGAGAUUAUACCAUAAGAAGGAUUAUCAUGGUAGUAGGAGGCGCUUGGAGAUGCAUAGACUGACAAGAGGACAGACUUGUUCAGACCAGCUCUCAAGAUGCUAAAUCCAACAGGAGGGCUAGGGGUGUGCUGCACAAUUGCUGAGAAUGAAAAUAGCAUCUCAAACCCAUGGUUAUGGACUGCACAGAAGCACGCAAGCAAAGCUAUUUCCAGAAAGUUCAAUGAACUGUUAUGUUUAUGGAGACCUACAUCAAUUCAGAGAAGAUUGUUUAGUUUCUUUCUCUUUCCAGGGCCAGGGUAGUUCAUUAAUAGCCAUAAUCAUGACAUAUAAAUGAAAUUAGAUAACCCAAAGCAAAUACAUACCCAACUGCGACAUGAUUUCCAAAACAAUGGAGCCUUUUUGCUCCAAAGCAUUAGAGAUCAAAUCGAUCUGAAGAAGGUACAACAAUGCAAAGUGAGCUUCACAAAGAAGAAUCAGAGACUGGCGAAUCUUUCUGCUGAUGUUGUGGCUCAAAAGAUAGAUCAAAAAGAAAACCACUGAAUCAGAGGAGAAACACAUAAAGCCAAUUAGAAACUGCUAUGGAUAAACUUGCAGUAAUAAUACAAAUUUGCACUUGCUUAUGUGAAUUGUACAAGAACAUUGGACAAAAAUCCUUAUGCUAAAGGAAAAUUUAUAAUUAUACUUAACUAAGAACUAAAGCCGACAAGGUUUAAUAGAACAUACAAUAGACAGCAUGGAUUAAUCCGGGUUUCAUUGCUAUGAUAAAUAUCAGUGCAAGCAUGAUAGCUCGAGAACAUUUGCGCAGUCCCCAUGCAAUUGUAGCCACAAUGAACACCUUGGUCUCUCCAUCCACUGCAAACAAAGGACACGAAGAAGCAAUUAUAUAGAUUAAAAAGUAAAAUUACCACCCUUUUGUACUCAAUAUCCGUAAAUGAUCUUAAAAUAGAUAAGAGAAGCAGUCUAAAGCAAUGCCAGAGUAGUAGAUAUACGAGAAAAUAAUCAGUUUUAUGUGCUGUCAGAAGACAGAAAAUCAAAAUUAAAUCUUAAAGAUAUCUUAAAAUAAAAAACUAACUCUUCAAGCUCACUGUUGUAAGAUAGAAAUCUAACUCGCUAAAUGCACAAUCCUAGAAAUAUAUACCUUCUCAGGAUUUCUAAAGAUAUAUUCCAAAGCCGACCUGAUGACAGUCCUCAAAAUGCAGAUGCCAAGAAAGAAGUCUGUAGCACUCAGAAUAUAUAAUUCAUACCUUCCACAGCAGAGUUGUUCGAUGAUAUAGCGUCCUCAUCAGAUAAAUAGAGGAAAACAGAAUUAUUUACAAGAUUCCCCAAAGCAACCAAAAUUCCAAGACAAAAUUGUGCAAGCAAAAAAAAUCCAGGUAUGGGAUAAUGCCAAAACCCAACCAUUUCCCAAAUUUCCAUAUCCUGCAUGAGCCCAUAUGUUGAUGAAAACAUAAGAAAAAAGAAAUCUGAACCAUUUAAAUUUAUGAAAUGAUGAAUUUGCAAAAGAGAGGAGUACCUUCCCAAAAUUCCUAUUCAAGAAAGCAAAUGCCACAUUGAAUAUAUAGGUGCUUACAGCCCACAAAAGAAUGAAGACAAGGAGAAGCCCAUUUAACCGGUGCAAACGGAACAGGGAAGGAAAAGCAUACACAAUGUAGCCAACAUAUGCAAGUAGCCCAAAAGCACAUAUACUUGCAAAGUGGAAACUCCAAAAGGAAAGAGCAAACAAGGAUACCUGUCAAAAUUUCCACAGACAAUUUACAUAUAUAUCUUAAUAUUGAUAAAAUUAGAGAAAAGACCCAUAAGAUUAUAGAAACAUUUAGUAAAAGGUAGCAAUCAUACUGGAAAACCGUAAGUGAAAAAGUUGAUGGUAAAAGUCCGGAAAGCUGUCCCUCGUAGUAAAACAUUGGUAUGCCUUACACCAGAUCUGGAGAAUUAGAAUAACUCAUUACAGAACUCAAAAUAACCUAUCAGUUAAAGAAUGGACCCUUUUGUUUUCUAGAAAAUAAAAGCAGAAGCAUAAAUGAUACAUGAACAUCUUAUACAGUGUGCCAGAUCCAAAACAAACAUGAUGGUGAAAAGAAAAAGUUAAUUAAAAUGAGUGCUCGUAAUUAAAAUAAUUCUGCAAAGGAGCAAAUUGAAUCAGUAAUUUGAUCAUGUUUGGUAUCCUCUCACUACUGCUUUCUUUCAGGAUAGCUCUAUUAAACAUAGAAAAGCAUGAUUAAAAUAGUAAAGUGUAGAUAAAUACACAUAGGUUAAGAAUAAGAGAAAUUUCCAGGAUAUAGCAGUACAAAUAGUUAUUUGGAUAAACUAUUUCCAGCUUAUAGGUGCAAGAAAUGAAUUAAAUCCAUGGAUAAAUCAAGUAUCCUAGAGUUUGCAAUUUAUGGUGUGUAUAAUAUUUUGCCUCUUUUUAAGAUUUAAAAGCAUAUAACAAGGGAAGAAUCAGAAAUAAUAUAAAUAGGUAUGUUACCUUGAUUCACGAAUGAAGAAUGAAUGCUUUGAUGGAAGUAGUUGCUCUGUCAAGCUACUUUCCCGCGUGGACAUGAUAAAAUCCAUUUCCUCCAAAUCACAUUUGACAUAGGAUAGCUGCAGUACAAGACAGAAUAUUUAAAUAGAAGAAAUAGACACCAAGACGAAAGCAGUACAGAAAUAUUUUAAAAAUAAAAAGAACACAACACAUAAAUAAAUAAGAUAUUUUCAAAAUAUUGUCAUAUUAUGUCUUACAAGUAAUCCAAAACUUCAGGUAUUACUAAACAAAACUUAAGACGACCAUAAAUACAUGUACUAAGCAUAUACAUAGAGCUGCUCUAAUCUUGUUCUCAAUUAUAUUAUUUCUUUAUAAUUAAUUUAACUUGUUCAAAACUAUUAAGAACAUAUAUUAUAUAAAUAUGCGGUUUCCAACUAGGAAGCUCUCAAAUUUUCAACUGCAAUUUCACUGAGCAAAUUGAAUAAAAAUUGCAUCCAGAAUGGAAAAAAUGUCAUCAAUCUCCAAAGUUUAGUUUGCAACUAAAUAGUUCAUAUCUGUCCGGGAAAAAAUUCUUAUAGAAAGAAAACACUUCAAACCAUCUUAAAUUAGUAAUAUGGGGAAAAGACUUAUUAGAUGGAGUUUAGUUUGCAACUAAAUAGUUCAUAUCUGUCCGGGAAAAAUUUCUUAUAGAAAGAAAACACUUCAAACCAUCUUAAAUUAGUAAUAUGGGGAAAAGACUUAUUAGAUGGACAAAUGUCAGACACAGGAAAGACUCAAAUGAAGUCAAUUUCAUAAUAUAAGAUUCUAGGAAGAGGGAAGAGUGUCUUGCAUUUCAUUUAAAGGUUCAGCUAAAAUCUUUAAACAGAAUCAGACGUAUAGUAAUAAAACUAGUACAUACCAUGAUGUAAAAAAGUACAAGAGAAACAGAAGAGCAAAUUUCAGUCCACUCAGAUGUUGAACAUAUUUUGAAUAGACCAACAAAAUCAGCUAUCCACUGUAACAUACUUGAGAACUCUAUAGGGAGUUGAUACACAUAAAGCAUGAAAAUGCUGAAGCCUGCAUAAAACUGGAGAGCCUUCCACAACCUUGACAAAAAAGAAACAGAACAUAAGCUACUAAAAACAUUAACCAAUGAUAAAAUCAAAUUCAUUGACAAAGAAAAUGAAAUAGAACAAUGUACAAAGAGUCAAGAAGAAAUCACCUGAAUAGUCCUAGAAAAUUGCUAGUCAAAGACCAAUCCACUAGCCCAAUGCAGCUUCCAAUGAAAAAUGGCAGAGAAAUCCACGAGGGAUGGCUAAUUCCCACAACCAGCUGAAUAGCAGGUAGAAGCAAACAGGAAGCAACUUUAAGAUGGGAACCUUUCAUGAAAUAAACAAUGGAAAUAAUUUUAUAUCAGUUUCAAUUUAAACAUGACUACCUGAGGUAACAAGUAAAUUAAAAAAACUCAAUUAAAAUUUUAAGUUCAGAAGCUGAAGCAGAAUAAAGAUUAAGAGAGAAAUGUUUAAGAUAGUUUUAACUUUUCUUUCUUUUUCUAUAGUGUCCGAGGCCAACAAAAGUACCAACUUAUUGUCAACGGCAUAGACUUAAUGGGAAUUGAAAUUUAUAUAUAAAAGUAAUAAAGCUGACUGCAAUGCAGAUAAGCAACGCGAUCAUUUCAGUUGGCUAACCAGCGAAAUAGCAAACUACCAGGCAUACACAUUAUAUGUUAUUAAUGCAGUCUGUGCAUACAUUGGAUAUUACUAAGUUGGCAAGGAUACAACUCACAGUAGAGCUAUACUGCACGAAAUACAAAGCAUUUGUUUGCAGAGAAAACUCAACUGUCUGUUCUGUUACCACAUGAAAACCCUUGACUAGAUUGACAAGAACUCUAAAUUGAAUAUGAGGCAAAAUAAUGCUUUAGAAGUUCUAGUAGCUAACUUAUAAGCUUUAAGUAGGCUACAGAGAUCAAUAUUUUCACCUCCAAUCCACAAGGCCCCAAAGAUCACAACAGAAAUAUUCCACUAGUAAAACAUGUGCUAUCAUUGACACAAAAUGAGAAGAGAAUAAUAAGGCUUCACUGCUGCUUUAGAAGAGGGACAAUUGGGGGAAGAGUGUUGAACUUGAUUUAAUUCAUUUAACAAAGUGAAUAAAAUCAUCUCUAGUUCAUAUCCUCUGCAUGCAAUAAGUUAAUCCUAAAACAUGCAUAUAGGAUUGCUAAAUGGAUCCUGUUUUGGGUGGGGAGAGUACAUAGUGCAACAAUAUCACUACAUAAAAAAAAAUUAGAAAAAUAAGGAAAUACUUACAAACCUAAUUGUUCAACAACUGUCAAGAAAUGACCCCAACAAGUAUACCGCCACGGAACAAGACCGAAUCUGUUCACAUGUAUAUCAAGCAAUGCAACUACUAGCACUAGAAGUUGUGUAACCAAGAAAUAGAUCACAGUGGGAGAUCUCCAAGACUGGAUUCUGCAAAAGCAUAGCCAAAUGGACAAACUGUCAAAAUAUGCAGAGACUGAAGGAACAGAAGAAUUAAAGAAAACAAAAUAUAUCCUUACAUCAUAAAACCAAUUAGCUUGAGCCACCAAGCAUCUCCUACACUCUGUUUAUAGCCUCCAACAGCCCAUAUAACAAGAUAUGCAACUUGUGAAAGAAAAACAAGUAGGGAAAAGAUGAUAACAGGCCACAGUAACAAAUAUUUCCUCCUGAAACGAAAUCCUAUAAGAAAGUAAUCCCAUGUUACUUUAUAAGAAAUGAAAACAACUUCAAAUAAAACCAUUAAAAUAACAAUAAUCAGAAAAAGAAGUUAAACUUAUAAAAAAUGCAAGAAGUCAAGAAAUAUCAUAAACCCCUCUUCUAAUUUUCUUAUAGACUCGGGGUUAUGUAACAUUAAAGACUGCUGAAUUCUACAAUAAGCACUUAGCAAAGUUCAUUAGAUACGUACAGCAAAAUCUAAAGCACCAACAAGAUAAAAGUAGUAAGAAAAAACAAUGAACAACUGAGACCCUGCUGAAUUAUGGAAAAUUAGAACUACAGAACUGCAAAGAUAAAGCAAAAAUUUACCAGAAAAUCUUCAUCACUUACCUAUUUUAGGUGCAGUAUACUGAAUGAGAAGGAAAGCGAUCAAAUCAACAUGAGAGAUCAAACUCCAAUUGAGCAAUGAAGCUUCAAGAAAGACAGAACAGGUAAAAACUAUUAAUUAAUUGAUGGCAGAGCAUAUAUGUAUUUGUAUAUGCAUACACACAACAAAAAAAAUGCAGUUUCAAACAGUAACUCAUAAAAGAAUAAAUGAUCUCAACGUCAGUAGAGAAUUUUUCUUGCUGGGAGUCUUCUAUGUAGAGCAUUCUGUAAGUUAUCAAUUUACAGGUCUCUCAACUUAUAAAAUUUAAAAUUAACACUCUAUGGCACUCUGCUAAGACCGUGCCUCAAAGCUCAUUAACAAACCAACCUGUCCCUCACCAAAAAGAAUACCAAUGAAGUUUUCGCUUUUCAAGUGACUUUUAACUGCAAAAUCCCUUCUACCCUUCUCACCUUUCAGGUUCCAAAAUAACAAAGACUGGAUGAUGUCCUGUGUCACAAGCUAAUUUUAAACUAGGUUCAGGUACCCAGGAAUUAGAUUUUUACAGUCUCAAAAACUUGAAACUUACAAUUGAUACUGGUCUAGUUCAAGAAUGACCCCUCAAAGUGAAUUUUCCAAACAAUAUAUGAAAAGAACAGAAGGUUGCAUAUAAAUGCAAAGACUAGUGUUCCCAUCAUGAACUCAUGAGCAGUAAACAAAAUCCCUACUCUUAAACAGCAGCUUGGAUGAUAAAAAAAAAAGGGUCAUUUAGACUCUCCUCAACUUCCUAAGACACUCCCUUAUGGAAUUCGGAUUUGGUUAUUUCUCUAUGGGACAUAGCAUAGCUCAAAUUAUACAGAUAAACGCGAGCACUUUAAGACAUAGCUCAAACAAUGCAUAUGUAAAGUAGAUUCCAACAGACAACCAACACCACUAAAUGAAUUUCUAAUUAAAAAAAAAGGGGGGGGAAUGAAGCAAAAAAGAAAGAAACCCGGAGUCUUUAUAUAAAUUUAUAAGGGAUGAAAUUAAAAGUAAAGAGUAUUAAGAAACAAAGCAUACCUGUAAGAAGCAGCAAAGGCAAAGCAAACCCAGUUAGAAAACUCCCCAUGAGAUUAGCACUUGAAUUCCACCAAAAAAACCAGAUCGAUUCACAGCAAAAACACAGAAUACGUUAAUGGGUUUUCGUUUUCCAUUAAAAUCAACAAAAACCCAUUUCACAUCAAAUCAAAAAUUUCCUCCUAAGCAAACGAAACGAGGAAAUUUUUGACUUGAAAACCCCAAGAAUGGAAGUUCGGGUCACGUGUUUUUCAGCAAAAGAGGGAAUAAAUUAAUAAAAAUAAAAACGAAAUUAGCUAUGGGUUUUACUAAGUACAAAACCAAAUUCGUCAAAAUCUGAUGUCCUGAAAUAUGUAUUAAGGAAUUAAAAUAACAGCAAGGUUGAUUUUAUAUUAUGAACAUAAAAAAUGAUUUUUUUAUAUAAGGAAAAUAUGGCUUUACCUGAUAUUCUAGAAUAUUAUAUAACUCAAGAUAUUUUUUUUACCCGCGCAAUGCUGCGAAGGGAAAUAUCUUUCUAGCAUAUUCAUUGAUUUAUUUAUUUAUUUUGGUACAUAUAAUUAGAGUCAAAAUUUUUAAAAUUCCAUGGGUGAUUGAAUCAAUUAUAUCACCAGUUUAUUUAAUUAAAUUAAAUAAAUUAUUAAAAAUUUAUAAAAUAUUAAAAAUUUGGUUUGUGUUUGAAUUAAUUGAUUUAUAUCAAUUUCUAAAUCUAUUGAUCUAAUUACUUUUUUGAAUUGGUAUCCUAAUUGAUUCUCGAUUCGAUCAAUUAAUUUAUCUAAUUUGAUUUAAAUAAUCUCAAUAAAGCUAAAUGAAUAUAAAAUUUAGAGGAUAAAUAAAAAUGAUAAAUAUUGUAUAUGUAUAAAUGAAGGAUUAAAAAAAUCAAGCAAUGAAAUAUGAAAAUAUUUAUUUCAAUAUUUUUUUAAGAAAUAAAAAAUUAAAGUGUUGUUUUUGAUAAAAAAGGUUAUCAAAAUAAAAAUGGAAAGAAAAAAUUUUCAAAUAUUUAAGAGUUUAAUAAUAUUUUUUCAAAAGAAAAAAUUGAGGGUUUAAUUAAAAUUUUGUGAGAUUAAUGAGAAAUUCAAAAAAAAAUUAGAAGAGCUUAAUUAAAAAUUUCAAAUAAAUUAAAAUACAUAACGAAAAUUUUCAAUACAAAAAUAAAAAUAAAAAUUUUCAAAAAAUUAGGAGAUCAAAGCUCCCUUAGCCUCCAUUACGAUCCGCCACCGCCUUUAUGGUUCAUCAGUUCACUAUUUGAAAGAGUAAGAUAUAUGAUGUGCUUAUUAAGUUCAACUGAACACUUAUAUUAUAAUCAUUUAUCAAUGGUUACAAAUAUUGAAAAUCAAGACCAAUUAACCAUAUUGAACUAAGAUUUUUCGGGCUUCAUUAAGUUGACAUUUUUGAUCAUUCUUUCUUUUGUUUUCUUGAUAUAUUUAUCGGAUAUUUCAUUGAUAUUCAACCCCAAACCUGUAAGCACUAGUCUCGAAUCAUCAGGUCGGACUGGUGUUGUCGGUUUCGCCAUGGCAAAUUCAUUGCCUGCCUCCCCACUGGCUACAGGGACGAUGAUCUUUGGGUGGCCUAUACCAGUUCGCAAUGAAUUCUCCUUCUUACCCGAGGGGUCAGGGACCGACAAACCGAACUUGUCAACGGUAGGCUGAUCAUCCAACUCUUCUGUUUGCUUAAACAAAAUCUUAACUGUAGGAUCUGAACCAUCAUCCUUGGCUUGGCUUGCAAGUGGUUCUUGUACUUCAUUGCUAGCAAAUUCACCUAGUGACCCUUUACCAGUUGAGCCCUGAGUCAUGAUGUGACCCAAGGUUAACCAUUUCGAGCCUUUACGAAUGAAGUUGAAGAGCCUAUGGCAAAUGCCAAAUGGCUGAUCAUCCUUUCCCUUCUGCUCCAUUGCCUUGGCUGAAAAUAAGUGGAAAAGAAUCGCUAUUUGAAUGAUUCGAAACUUGGAGCUCAAAAAAAUGAAGAAAGAAAGAGUGAGAUUUUCCAUGGAAGGGAGGGAUAUAAUUUAAUGGAUUCUUGGAAUAAGGGAGGAAUUUGUACUUUCCUUUAAGUCAAAUUUUAUUCCAAAACAGCAACAAGAAACAUCGAGGGGAAUUGGUGAUUGGUGAAUGUAGUUGAUGGAGAGAUUAAGAUACCAUGUGAACUGAAGUUUCUUCUUUUUUUUUUAUUAGCAAAUAUGCUUUGUGAAAUUACUAGGAGAUAAGAUAUUCUUUCUACACUUGAUGUAAACAUAUCUAUGGAAUAAAGUUAGAUGGAGACUUUUGACAUAUGUGCAUGAGUCUCGUGCAUAUUCAAUAAACAAUGACAUGUCAUCAGUGAAAUAAAAGAAAUAGUGAAAAUUUAUAAAUAAAUAUUAAUAACUUCAUUCUAAAAUAAAUCUAAAACUCUAAAAUUAUCAUAAACCUUAAAUCUUAAACUAUAAAAUCUAAACUAAAAACCUUAGAAAAAAAAUAAUUAUAAUUAAUAUUUAUUUUUAUUUAAAUAAUUAUUAUUAUCUCCACUAUUUUAUUAUGCACACCGAUAAUGUAUAAAAUCUAUACACAUUAAAUAUAAUUCAUAUAUAUUAUUAAUGCAAUUUAAGAAUCUUCCACUGGCACUUCAAUUAGAAUAUGCAUAAAUUGUUCUUCACAUGCAUGUGUGUGUGUGUGAAUGGCUAUUUAUAAAGAAAGAAAAAGCAUAAAUUCCUAAGGGGCAGCAUUAAGGGAAACUAAUGGGUGUCUGUUUCACAUGAAAAGAGAAUAUCAACUUUCAUCUACAACUUUGGGAACCCUUUCCUAAUGAAAGAAAAUCAUAACAUAAAAAUAAGUGAAGGGAUUGGAUACGGUGAGGUUUUCUGAUUUGGUGUUUUUUGUGGUAUCAUCAAUUUUAAUACCCAAAAUCUAGAAGUAUAAUUAAUUGAACUCUUUUGAUUGAUUUGGUAGUUAAGGGUUGCUCACUUAGAGAACUCACUCGAGUUUAAAUUUGUGGAGGGGUAAUGGAAGGCCUUUAUAUGGCCAGCUCUUUUAGGAUGUUGUGUGUGCGUGUGUAGCGUAACAGCUUUUAAAAUUGGCAUAAUGAUAACUUUAAUUCUCAACGUUUAUAUAUAUGCCAAUUUAUUUAGUCUUGAUUCUAAAAUAUCUAACCCUUAACAUUUACAUAUUGUAUAAUUUGGUCUUUUUUGCUUUUUAUAAUUGGGUAACCAUUUUAUAAUUUUUUAUAAUUGGGUGACAAAAAAUAAAUUUACUAAGUUGGGUGACUACAAUGUGGUUUACCCUUAUAAAAUUUACAUUUGUCUAACCAACAAAUUGCAUUACUUAAUUUAGGGUUGAGUAAAGAAAUUGAGAAAGCCAAAAUUUGAUUUGAACCAUUGCAUUUUAUUCGCUUUGAUUUGGUUUCAGAUUGAUGUUAUCACUCAUAUCUCACAAUUCAAUUUGGGUUCAAUUUUUCCGCAUGAAACUCACUUUAUUCAAAUCAAACCGAAUGAAAAGAAAACCAUAUUUAAACAAAUAGUCGUGAUAGACUAACAGAUAGAUUAUUAAUAUCUACAUGGCUAAUUCAUUUCACCUAAUUAUUAUUAUAUUGUUAAAAAAAACUAAAUAUAAUCAUACAAAAAGUUAAAGUUGUUUAAAUGUUUCAAACAAAAAGUUUAUAUAUAUUAAUGUAAGUGGAUCAUUUAUUGAAUAUGAUAGUUAUAUUUAUAAGCACAAUUAUAAUUUUAGUAAAUUACUUUAUAAAACUUUUAUAAUAAUUUAUUCAUAAAAGAAAUUGUUCACAAAUUGUCAACCGUGUAUGUUUGAUCGUUAUGAAUUUAAUUGAUUAUAUGAUAUAUUGCAAUGACUCAAUUAUAAAUAAUUGAAGCCAGCAACUAAUGAAAUUAAUUAAAAAACGAUACAAUAAACAUUAGGUAUAUGAAUGAUUUAUAUGUUUCUUUUUAACAACUUUGAAUGAUUUAUCAACUUAAUAGCUUAACUUAAAAUGACUUUUUUAAGUGAGGAUAAAUAUAAAAAAGAGUACACAUGAACUUUCAUCCAAUGAAUAAUAUGAUAUAUGAAUUUUGAUUUUGUACGGUUAUACACAUGAAACUUUGAUCGAGGAUCAAUUUUAUUCAUAGAACUUUGAUUUUCAUUCAAUUAGUAAGUAUUUAAAUAAAUAGAUACAAUAAUUUAUUUAUAUUAGAAAAGUAUAAUCAUCUCUGCAUGUAAUGUGUAAACGUAAAAUGUAUUAUAUCAGUAAUGAUGUUAAUGGUUCGUGAAAAUUGAAUCAAAUUAAAAUGUCAUAUGUAAAAUUGCACAAAAUCAAAGUUCAUAUAUAACAUUGCACAUUAGACUCAAGUUCAUGUGCAGUUUUGAUAUUCAUCCCUUUUAAAUAGUAUUUGCAAAUUGAUUAUGAUGUUAAUUUAAUUAUUUAAUUCACUUUAUAAAUGAAUGUAAAGUAUGUAUUAUGAUGGUUAAGAAAAAAUUAAGAAUUGCAAUAUUAGGUUUUUUGGGCCCAAAAACAAUGUGGUUGUUUUUUUCACAAGCAUUGUCCAAAUUUGCCAAAGAAUUGCUAAAUCGAAUCACAAUUAUCGAUUUCAAAUAUUUUGAUUUUUACUCAACACAUUCGAUUUUAAAGGUCGAAAAUCAAAUGAAGCAGUUCAGUUCAAUUUUUGUCUAAUAAAUAUUGUAUCAAACUGAAUCAAAUACACCACUAAUCUAGUUGAUGCCUAGUUCAGGAAUAGGUUGUGCUAUAUGUGAUUUAACUAGACAAGGUAAUGUAAGAAUAACUCACAAUGAUCCAAACAAGUAAAUAAAGAUGACUCAGACUUGAAGUUACCAAACCCAUAAUGACUCGAUAUGAAAACAAAACUCAAAACCUCAAAUUUGAAUAACCUAAGCCCAAAAUACUCGAGAUGCGAAGUCAAAUCAAACCUAAUACAAACCCAAAAUCAACUCAACCCGAAAUGUUCUAAAAAUUUUAAAAUUUUAUUUGACCUGACCUAGAUGGACUAAUUCAAAAUCAAUCUGACCCAUACAAUCAGAAGUUAUACUUAUCAUCUAUUGUCGAUAUGAACAUUUAUAAGCAGAGCAAAUAUCUACUAAAAUAUUUCUAAAAAAUGUAAAAUUAUAAAUUAAUGUAACGAUAAGAUUACACCGUUACUCUCAAAAAGGAAUUUCUAACUUCAUCCUUAAUCAUCUCAUACCCUUGAAGUUGAUAUCAAAAGUAUUAAAUAAUCAAAGCAUUCCACAGCUUGGUGAUAAGGGUUUGAUUGGAAUCAAUUUUGGAGAAUUUUUUUUGCUACCCUAUGUUUUUUAAAACUUAAACUAAAAUCAAAUCGAAAUUUAAAAAUUAUUUGAUAAACCAUAAAACAAAACUCUUAUUGUAAAGUAUGUAAAAAACAAAACAGAAAAUUAAUAUAAAAAGCAAAAACUGAAUUCAAUCGAAUCAAAUUAUUACGGAUAGUUUGAAAUUUUUAUAAUCCAAUUAAAGUAAAAAUCAAUGGUGACCAACCAGCUGGAAAUUUUUGUAUUUGGUUGAUUUGCAAGUAAAAGUUUUAAGGUUAAAGUUAAAAUUUCGUGUUAAAAUUAUUUAACUGAAUUAUUAAUUUUUACAAAAGAUCGAAAGUACAAUUUCACAUUUACUCAAGUAUUUAAAAUGGAUUAUGUAACAUCCUCAAAACCCUAUUGGUCGUAAAUAAUAUGAGAUAAAAUCUUACGAAAAUAAGGUAUAAGAUCAAAGAAAAUGAAAGUUGCAAUAUAUCAAAAGAGAGUUAAAUCAAGAAGCAUGACACGAUGUAUUAAGGAAGUGACUAAAUCGUAAAUAUGUGAAAAGCUUUUGGCUCAAGUGUAAAUAUUCAAAAUUUAAGGGAUUGAAAUGUAAUAAUGGGAAAUUUGAAGGACCAAAAGUGAAAAUAAUCCAAUUUACUAAUAUAUGGAUUGGCAUGCAUGGACCAAAUUGAAUAGGUGAAGAAUUGUGAGGGUCUAAAUUACAAUUUUACUAAAUUAAGUGAUAAUUCAAUGAUGGAAUUUUGAAAGAUCAUAAAUAGUAAAAUUGUCAAUUAGCAAGAGGGAGAAUUAUAGAAUAUAAUGAUGAUGUUGAUGAUAUUUUGGUGAUUUUUUUAAUUAAUUAGUUAAAUAUUAUUUUAUUAAUAUUUUACUUAGAUAUUUAUUAUUAUUUUAUUUAGAAAAUGGUAGUAUAAAAAAAAAGGAAGGAUGAAAGAAAUUUAUCAUCCGUCCAACGUGAGUGAAAGGGUAAGAAAGAAUGUUUUCUUUUCUUUACAAUUUAGUCCUUUGUCAUGAAAACCUACAUUUUUACCCAAAAUCUUUAAAAAUUUCUUUAGAUAUUAAAGAGAGAAGAUGAAAUAGAGAUUUUAGAGAAUAUGCCCAUCAAUUUAGAAUCAAGAAAAUAGUAGAUGAAAGUGGAGAAAAUGAGAAAAAAAAAAGGAAGGAAAGCGGUGAAGAUGAGAAAUGCAUGGAAAUGAAGAAAUUCUUUACAAAAGAGGUAAGUUUCAUACUAAACCUAUUUGUAUUUCAAUAGAUUGAGUUAAAGAUAUUUUGAGUAAGAUGUAUGAAACAUGUAUUUAAUCUAAAUACUAGAAAUAGAAAGUAUUUUGAUGAAGAACAAAUACUUCAAACACUAAAUUGGUAAGAGAGAAUAUGAUUUGUAUGGUGAAAAGUACUAAUAUUAAGAAAUGAAUAUGUAAUCUACACAUAAACAUAAGUAACUAAAUUGUAUAGUAAUCAAAAGUAUGGCAAUAAUGUGUGAUUGAAUGAAAGAUGGUGCAAAGGACCUUGAAAAAGAAAAUAUUUUCAUUAAAACAGUUUGGACAAUAGCAGUGACUUAAUUUUGAAAAUUCACCUAAAAUUUUAGAAAUUUAGUUAGAGAUUUAAUUAAAUAUGGAAUUAAAGCUUAUUGAGUAUAGUUUCAUAUGGAAGAAACGGUGAAAGAAAUUAGACUUUAUAGUUUGAGAUAUAUUAAUUUUUGUGAAACAAGGUUGGAGUGGAUUCGGGUUCUCCUGUUCUAAAUUUGGAAAAUCAUAAAAAAUUGUAAAAAAAAAUGAUUAUGAGUUUAAAUUUAUAUGUUUAAAUUAUUAAUGAGUCUAUUUUCAAUAGAAACAAACGAAAAAAUCAUCCAAACCUCGUACUAAGAAAUAAUUAAUUUUUAGUAAAGAAAUAUCGAAGUUGUCAAGCAACAGAAUAGGGACAAAUUUGAAUAAUUUACCGUACUGAUUGGCUAAAUUAUAAAUUCUGAAAUUUUUAUGGUAAAAAUAUAUUCGAGUCUAGUUUCAAAAAUAUCAAUUGGAUCUUAAUUUCAAAUUCUGUAACUCAAGACAUAAAUAAUUUAGUGACUAUGACUUAAGUGGACAGCUUUGAUAUGAACAUAUAAGUAAAUAGUGGAAUUAUGGACAAUGUUACAUAUAAGCAUGUUAUAUACUAAAAGCUAAAGAUUCUAAUAAAUAUAUACAUAAAAGAUGUGGAAUGGAGAGGAAGAUGAGGGAAAAAAUAUAUAUGAUUAUAUAUAUAGUAGAUGAAUUUGAAAUGUUUCGAAAUGGUUGUAAAUGAUGAAAUGAUUAAUACAUGUGAAUAUGUUUAAACGAAUUGAUAAAAUAACAAGUGAAUAAUUGUUAAUUGAUGUGAUAUUGAAUUCUUAUUAAAAUUUUAUGAAGAAUUAAAUUGAUUGCCACAAUUUAGAAAUAAAUAUGAAAUAUACAUAAAUUGGGUAAACUACUUUGAAAGUGCAAGUCCUCCAAUGGUCUUAUUUGUAAAACUUUGAUAUUUGUCUUAAUUUUAUAAACUUUGUUAUCUUUAAUCGAAUAUCAUGUUUUUAUGAGGACUUGGGAUUAGAAAUAGAUAUCAAUGGAUGAUAUGUAAAAUGAAGUGGCAGUUAUGAUAUCUAAAUACGGUUCAUGUAAUGAUAUAAAAAAAUAAAUAAAUAAAAAUAAAGCAUGGAACUUGUAGGAAAAUGGAGAUUAUGUUAUGAUGACAAGUUUGCUAUGUCAUGACGUGAAAACCCCAAUGUGGCGACGACAAUUCAAAAUUUUUUAUGAACUAUACAAUUUGGCAUUUGAUCAAUUGUAGACGUUUUAAUGAGCUCAUUUAACUUAUAAUUAUUUUUUUCGUAAAUUUAAUUAUUAUUGAAAUGAGUUAAUGAUCUAUAUUAAUUAAAUAAUAUGAUACAUUGAUUUGAAAUUUUCAGUAGUUGCUUCGGUAACGAAUGUAACAUCCUGAUGCCUUGACUCGCCAACCAGGUCGAGUAUGGGGUUGUUACAGAUUAAAUUAAAAUAUUAUAUUUUAAUUUAUAACUUACACAUAGAUCUGUUCGUGGAUCGGGUCACUUGACCCAAUAAGUGGGAAGGUUUGAUUAAAAAUAUAUGCUCGAAAAAUGGGCUUGAACAAAAAAAUAAGACUUGUUUAAAAAAUGGGCCAAGCUUCAGAUAAUGCUUUUUUUGACCCGAGCCCAGCCCAAUCCGACAUAAUUAGAAAAAAAAAGACAAAAAAAGCUAUUUUGAUGCUAUUUUUUAUUAUUAUUUUCUCACUAUUUUACUAUUAUUUUACUAUUAUGUUACUACUAUUUUGUUGUUAUUGUUUGAAUAUUGUAUAACUCUUAUUUUGUUAUUAAUUUUGUUACUAUUUUAGAGGCAUUUGAUUGUUAAGUUACACAUAUCUUAGUGUUAUUUAAGUAUAAAUAUUUUUUUAAUUUGUUGGAAAAUAUUUAUUUUAUUUUAUAAGUAUUUUUUAUGUAUUGUAUUUUAUUUUUUUAUAUAAAAAUUUUAAUUUGGCCGAGUUGAGCUUGGGCUAAAUUUUAGGCCAAUUUUUUAGGUUGGGCCCGGGCCGAACAAAUAGGCCUAAAAUUUUGACAAUGUUCAACCCGAUCCAUUGACAAAUCUACUCAUAUAUAAUAUAUGGACUAAAUUCAUAACUUACAUAUAGUAUAGGGUCUAAUAAUAACUUAAUUUAUAAAAAAAUAACUUUAUAAAGUUAUGAUAAAAAAACUAUAAUAUUUUUAAAUGAAUAAGUAUGUUAUUUUUAUAAUGUAAAGCAUAGACACGUAGAUAAGUUAUGUCUAUAUUUCUUCGUCAUAACUUUUUAUAAAUAUAUAUAUAACCCUUUCAUAACAUGUAAAUUAUUGUUUUAUAAUAAACUUUUGAUCAUAAUUUUAGAAUUAUUUUAGGAUUUUAAAAAAUAUUUUUUAUUAUAACUUUAUAAAAUACACAAUUUUUUUUACAAUAUAAUUUUUUAAGGUUUAUAAUAUAAGAAAAUUUUGGCCAUAACUAAUCCAAGUACUCAUUCAUGUUUAUAAUAUAAUUUCUAUAACUUGUAUAAAAAUAAUUUUUAAAAAUUUAUUUAAGUGUAAUUAACUGCGUAAUUAUUCUAAUUCUCACCAUCCCCCUUAACAAUUGAAAAGUUUAGUUGGGGUGCUCCAAUUUCACCCAAUGCAGUGGGACUCAUCAAUUAUAAUGGUUACACAAACACGUCAUCCUUGUGUAAUUACUAACAAUUACACUUAAAUCUAAUUAUUAGAUGCAUUUCCAAACACUGCCUAAACGAUAGGCAACUUAAGCAAACUUACUUUGAAUAUAAUAUUUAUUUGGAUAAAUAUCUUAUUUUCGUAUCUAAGUUUGGCUUCAAUGUUCAAUUUGAUAAAUGAGUUUUUUUUUUCUCAAUUUGGUACUUGAGUUUAGCUUUAAUAUUUACUUUGGUACUCGAGUUUUUUCAAUUUGAUAUUUGAGUUUUUUUUUGUUCAGUUUAAGUAUCUAAAUUCAGCGUUUAAUUUGGUACGUGAGUCUUUUUUUGGUCCCGAUUAAGUAUCUGUGUUCUUUUUAGCAUAAAACACAUGUCAAUCAUUCAUUGGGCUAUAUUAUAUCAUUUGGCAUAGGUACCAAAUUGAAUAUUGAAGCCAAAUUUAGAUAUCAAGUUAGGAAAAAAAAACUUAGGUACCAAAUUGAACAUUAAAACCAAUCUCAUAUAUUGAAUGAUAUAUUAAUAGUAUUUUUUAAACAUAAUAUUUUAUUUAUAUUAUUUUAUUGACAUAUAUUCGCAAGUGUCUUCAUCUGUUUUACAAUUUAAAUCUAAUCUUAUUCGAGAAAAAAUAAUAUUCAGGUAAAACACUCCUUACAUGACUACUCCAGAAUUUUAUUUAUAUUAUUCAUUCAUUAUUAAAUAAUAAUGUUGCACCAUGAAAUUUGAUAGAUAUUAUUAUUUUUAUGCACGUAUAAGUAUAGAUAAAAGAGUUAUUUUAUAUUGUGGUUGUAAAAUUUUAAAACUUUGAAACUCAUGUGAUGGCUUGAUGGCCAAGAGUGUUCACCGCCUCAGGUGUGACCUGAAUUCGAGUCGCACUAGUCACAUUGGUUGUUUGGGAUAUGCCCUGUUAUUGUAAUUCACCAAAAAUAAAUUAAAACUCUACAAAUAUAAAAAGAGAUGUAAUAAAUAAAAAUAAAAAUUAAUUAUAUAAAAAGGAUAUUUAUCAAAUUUUUAAUUAAAUAUUUAUAUGUAAUAUAAUUACAAUAUUAUUAUUUUAAAAAUUUUAUGAAAAUAUAAACAAAUUAUAUAUUUGGAUGACAUCAUCAUUUGCACAUCAUAUUAUAUUAACAUGAAUUUUUAUUAGAAAUAAACGUUACAUACGGAUUAAAUUUUAACUCGAUUAAUAUUAGUAUUGUUGUCAGUGUAGAAAAAUGAGCGUUCGAGCAUGCUGGAGCAUGUUUAUACUACUAUUUAAUGAUUGAGAUGAAUUAUAGGUCGUUUUAAAUAAUCUUAUCUAGGUAUAAAAUAUAAAAAACUUAGGAGUAUUAUUUUAUAACUACUGAAAUGACUAGAAUACCCCAUUAAAGGAACAACAGUCUUCGGGUCAGUUCUGCAUUACUUUUCAAAAGCACUUCUGGAAGAAAAGUUGUGCAGAAUAAGUUGCUUUUGGCUGAAAUUUUUAGCUUUUCAGAAGUGCUUUUGAAAAGCACUUCUGAAAAAGAGAAAAUAAAAUUUUUAGCUUUUCCUCUCCCCAAAACACUUUUAGUGCUUAAUUACUUUUUCACCCCUCCAAUAACAUAGUACUUCCCCCUUUUUUUUCUUGGUAAUUAAUUGCAAAUGUGUUAAAAUCAUUAAUUAAAAAUAAAAAAUAUUUUUUAAAAUACUAAUUACAAAUAUUUAAUAGUUAUAUUUAAAUAUUUAAAAUAUAAUUUAUAUAUUCUAAUUAAAUUUUAUAAAUAAUUAAUAUUUAUUGCUUAAAAAUAUUUAAAAUUUAUAUUUUAUAUAUUAAAAUAUUAACAAGAAGUUAUAAUAAUUUUUAUAUAUUAUUACUAAAAUAUAAUAAUAUUAACUAAUUUAAAUAUUAUUUAAAUGCAUAUUUGUUACUUGAUAAUAACAUGUCUAAAAUGGACAUUUUAUUUCUUAAAAGCACUUUUUGACAGUAAUACUAAACACUUAAAUUUUAAAUCAAAUUUUUCAAAAGUACUUUUUUACAGUACUUUUCAAAAGCACUGUCAAACUAAUUAUUCUUUAAAAAAGCUAGUGGCGUGGAAGCCCAUAAACAAAGCGGCUCACCAGUCACUAUAGCUUUACCUCUAGUAAAAGAAAAAAAAAGAAAAAAAGUAAUUUAAUUUCAAUUAUUAAAAUAAAAUUUAAUAUCUUAAAUAAUAAUUAGAUUAAAUCAUAAAAACUCAAAAUUUAAUAUAGAUUAAUUUGAUAUUCUCAGUAAUUUUUUUUAAAAUAUAUAUAUUUAGUUUAAAAGUUAAACGUUUCUUGUUAAUUGUAUUAAUAAUUUAAUAAAAUUUACCUUUUAAAUAUAAAAUAUUAUGACAUAUUAAUAUUUUUUUCCAGUGUUAAAAUAAUUAAAAAAAAGUCAAUGAAGCUUUAACAAAGUUGACAAAGAUAGGGUAGAGGUGUGUAUGGGCCGGGCCGGGCUCAACUAAAAUUUUAGGUCCGUUUGCUAGGCCCGAAUCUGGCCCAAAAAAUGAGCCUAAAAUUUUACUAAAGCCCGACUUGGAUAAAUAUGUUAAAACCUAGGUCCGACUCGGCCCGCCCAUAUUAAUUUUUAUAUUAUUUUUAUAUAAUUUUAAAAAACAUAUAAUACAUCAAAAAUAUUAAAAAUAUCAAAAUAAAUAUUUCUCAAGAAAUUGAAAAUAAAUUUUAAAAAAUAUAUAUAUUUAAAUAAUAACAAAAUUAACAUAUGUUUUUAAAAUAAUAAUAAUAAAAUAGUAACAACAUAAUAAUAAAAUGGUAGUAAAAUAGAGUAUUAAAAAUAGAUUUUUUUUUCAAUUAGUGACUUCUGGCCGGGCCGGGCCUCGGGGGUAAAAAAUGCCUUACCAAGGCCUGGCCCGUCUUUUAAACUGGCCUUAUUUUUCUAUUCAAAUCUAUUUUUCGGGCCUAUAUUUUUUGUCUAAACCCUCCCACAUUUUGGGCGGGCCUUUGAGUCGGGCCGGUGGCCCGACCCAUGAACAAGUCUAAGACAGAGACUUUGAACCUUGAAAAAUCGAGUUUUAGUCCCAUUAUUUGCAAUUACAAUGGUUGGGUUCUCUCUCUUACUUUGUGUGGAUUUUAUCCCGUUUUUUCCAAAUUAGUCUGGCUUUUGUUUGAUUCUUUUUUCAUUACUUAACAUCAUAGUUAAUUAAACAUAUAUUUGUAUUUGUCUUAUACUUUUCUUGUAUUGUAUUCUAGUGAAACUUAAAAAAAAAAUAAAAAAUUUUAAAAAUUGAACUUAAAAAUGAAAAUGUAUGUUUCGAAAUAAAUCUCAAAACUUUACAUAAAUUUAAUGUAUAAUUUUAUAUGUGAAUUUUAUUAUGGUACAAUUAUACACAUAGAACUAUGAUUGUCGAACUUUUAUUUUGAUUCAAUGAUAUAUAUUCAAAGAAAUAGAUAUAUCAAUUUAUUUUUAUAUUAGAUAAAUAUAAUUAUUUACAUAUAUAAUAUAUAAACAUAUAAUUGUGUUAUAUUAAUAAUUAUGUUAAUAAUUUGUGAGAAUUGGAUCAAAUUAAAAUUUCACACAUUAAACCAAAGUUAAUGUAUAAUUUUGAGAUUUAACUCAAACAUUAAAUCAUAAUAAAAAGACUAAAUUCAUAAAAAAAUAAUUUAUAGGGACCUUUUAUAAAAUUUUACCUAAUAAUUAUAUUACGUAUGCCAAUAAAGUCAUCAUCUUCGAUGAAGCUUAGUAAAUUCAGUCUCAGAUUAACAGAAAAAAGAAAAAAAAACCCAUAAAAUUCCUCAAAGAAAACCCUCUCUUCCCGCGAAAAUCCUUCUCAAUUUAACAAGAGAAGGAAGUUUUUAAAGCCUUUUGCAAUAAAAUUUUGUUGGAAAGGGCUCAUGGGAAGGGUUCUACAUGAAACACCGAAUCCACCAUUGUCGUCGUCGACGGAAGGCGCCACCACGUCGUCGACGUCGGUGAUGAAGACGUUGAACGGGUCUCACCACUUCAAGAUCACGGGGUACUCGCAAUCAAAAGGUAUGGGGGUCGGAAAAUACAUAGCUUCUGAUAUGUUCAUGGUGGGUGGGUAUUUGUGGGCGGUCUAUUUUUACCCCGACGGUAAGAGCCCCGAAGAUAAUACCGCGUACGUUUCGUUGUUCAUUGCUUUAGCGAGCGAAGGGACGGACGUUAGGGCGCUUUUUGAGCUCACCCUUUUGGAUCAGAGUGGGAAACAGAGGCAUAAGGUGCAUAGCCAUUUUGGAAGGACGCUUGAAAGCGGUCCUUAUACUCUUAAGUAUCGUGGCAGCAUGUGGUAAGGGUUUUAUUUUGCAAUUUCAAUUGGAAUUACAGGGUGGGUUUUUGGGUUUUACGAUGAAUUUUCUUUAGUUGAUUGAAGUUUUGGUGGGUUUAAUCUUUAUUCUUCUUUUGUGACUUUUAUUGGGGUUUUAAUUAUCUUGCAAGAUAGUAAGAACUGCAUAAUGGGUUGUUCUGGUUCUUGUGCUUGUAAUCUUCAGGUUCACUUUGUUGUUUAAGGCUAGAGUCUAGAUCCUCUUCUCUUUUUUUUUACAUUUAUUGAGCAUUAGCCUUUAUGUUGGUUCUUAGGUGGCUAGGAUGUUUGCAUAACAAGUUUGUUGCCUAUGAAAUAGCAAUAUAAUUGCGGGAAAUUUUGGAGGAAUAAAUUAGCUUCAUUCCUGUGACAUACUUUUUUUAUAUAUGAAAAGUAUUUGGGGUAGUUGACAAGAAUAUAAUUUCACAUGAAUUAUGCUAAAAUUGGCUAUUGCACUAGAUUUUGUUAGCCACUAAGGCUGACCUUAAUUGCUAUUAUUAUUAGCAUUACUUUUUUGGUCAUUCUUUCCUUCUCCUAAUCUUAUUAAGAUUCCAUGACUUGUGAAUUUCGAUUUAUUUUGAAAUACAUGUAAUAUAUUGAGUAGAGAUUGUGGGGAUUAGUGAGAAUAAAGCGAAGUUAAUUCAGUCAUAUGUCUGCUUUUAUAUAUAUAUAUAUAAAAACAUGUGUUCUUGUCCGUUUUUUGGUUUGAGACUAGUCAUGUUUGGACCAGGGUGGUAUUCAAGUAAAACCUACCUAAUAGUGAUGGCUCCAGGACUUGAACUCAGUCCAAAUGCUUGGGCAAGAAGUCUACUCCACUUCUUCCAACCAUGCUUUUUUUAUUUUGAGUUUAGCAUGUCUAUAAAAAUUACUUCUUAUUAAAGUGUUCUGUUAAAUUUGAAGGAUUUCAGUUAUUUUUUUUAAAAUUUUUUGCAUAUUGCCUCCUGUUACUGUUUGUGUAGACAUGUUUUUCUUCAAAGCUACACUCUGGUUUCUUUUAUGCUCCAUCUCGAUCCAUACAGUUCAAACUUACUGCAGCUUGUUUAAUUUGGCAUCUUAGUAAAGCAUUUGGUUGCAAUCAAGUAUACAUUGUUGACCAAGACAUAUGCAACAACAUUAUUGCUAGCCUAAUCGAACAAUUCUAUAGUAUUGAUUACUUUACUUUUUUGAUUGUUCAUGAUGUCUGACCUUUACUAACUGGAUGAUAAAUGUUAUUAAGACAUAUGUGGGUUGCGUUAUAUCAGAUUUCAGUCUUAGCCUCUUGGCCUGUAGGUUCUUAGCACCCAAUUCCUGUAGGGGUAUUUGCCAAGUUCCGAGGUUUGGCUCCUCUUGUCUUCCCCCUGAAAUGAACAAAAAGAAGAAGCAUAUUUUAUUUAUUUCCCUCAUUUCUCUUGGUAUAUGAUAACCUUUGGUGAGUAAAGAAGUAAUUAGUUUGAUUUGCUGCAGGGGAUAUAAACGGUUUUUUAGAAGAACUCUUCUUGAGCAGUCAGACUACCUCAAAAACGAUUGCCUCUCUGUUCAUUGUAGUGUCGGAGUUGUUACGUCACAUACAGAAGGUCCUAAGUUCUACUCCAUAGCUGUUCCGCCUUCAAGAAUUGGUCAUCAUUUUGGACAAUUACUAAAAACUGGAAAGGGAACUGAUGUUAGCUUUGAAGUUGAUGGGGAAGUCUUUUAUGCCCACAAGUUGGUACUUGCUGCACGUUCGCCUGUGUUUAGGGCACAACUUUUUGGUCCUAUGAAGGAACAGAAUACAAAGCAGAUAAAAGUUGAAGAUAUUGAAGCUCCGGUUUUUAAGGUUCAUUCAAAUACCCCUCUUCUUAUGUUGGACAAGAACUCAUGCUACUUCUUGACCAAUGAUAAUGCAUUGGUGAUGGAUGCAAAGCAUUAACCUGCUGUGGAUAGCAUACACUGCCUAGGAUGCAUCAUGUCAACUCCAUUGAUAGCAUGCCUGAUGUUAAUAAUUAGUUGGAAACUUCUCCAUGCAAAUUAUAUGCUGGGGUGGCUGAUGCUUAUGCUUUUGAAGUCAAUUUGUGGCAUGUACUGUCUUAAUCUUUUAGUUAAUUGCUUCAUAUAACGCACAUGUAGAUCGUCAAUGGCUAUACACAAAAGUACAUUCCUGAAUGUGCAUUUCUUUACCUUUCUAAAAAUAAUGAUAUUCGAGCUUUAUUUGAAGGCUACAAAAUAUUUUACUCGUCAAGCUAAAGCAAUGUGACUAUAUAAAGUACGCUAUGGUCCGGGUUACUGAUACAGUAUUAUCUCUAUUGACUAUUCCUUAUCUUGCGCUUUGCAGGCCCUACUUCACUUUAUGUACUGGGAUUCUCUACCUGACAUGCAAGAGCUCACUGGUCUCGACUCCAAGUGGGUGACUACAUUGAUGUCUCAGCAUCUGCUUGCUGCCGCAGAUAGGUAUGGACUAGAAAGGUUGCGAUUGCUCUGUGAGUCCAAUCUUUGUGAGGAUGUUACCAUUAACACUGCGGCAACUACAUUAGCCUUGGCCGAACAGCACCAUUGUUUCCAGUUGAAAGCUGUGUGUCUCAAGUUCGUUGCAGUGCCAGAAAAUCUAAGAGGUGAGUGUCUCUUUAUGUUUUGAUAUGUACAUCAAUGUUGAAUUAGGGCUAUCCAUGCCCGAAAAUAAUUGCUUUUAGAUAGAAUGCAUAGCAAGUUAUCAUAUAGCUAUUCUUAAGUUUGUCUUCUUGUUAUGGGUCAUAAAUGCCACAGCUAUUCUCACAUAGAAGUCCCAUAUAGCCGGAUUGUGUCUUAGCCCUCGGGAUAUUAUGCAAUCAUUCUUCAUGCAAUUGAACAAAACACGACCUUAGGGUUUUCUAUCUCGAGCUUUUAUCAUAUAUUGUCGAACCUGAAACCCUUCAUUCAAGUACAGCUAUUCUGAAUGUCUCAUUUGGGAUUUCAUCAAGUCAUACAACUGCAAUUGCACUUUGGUUUAUACCAUCAUCAACAUCCAUAAUCUUUACAAGAUUCAUCCAACUCUUAGGUUUCUCUUGACUGAACCCCCAGCGUUUUUCUUUUGUCUUGGGCAGCUGUAAUGCAAACAGAUGGUUUCGUGUACUUAAAGGAAAGUUGCCCAUCUGUCAUGACCGAGCUGUUGGAGUAUGUGGCUAGAGUGAUUGAGCACUCGAUGUAUGUAUGCAAACAUGGGAUUGAACCCAUCUUUGAUGGAAGUGAUGCAAAUGGUAGGAGGGUGAAGCAACGGCUAUAGCUACAGCUUGGUACAGUUUCCUUACUAAUUAAAAGUAAAAUAAGAAAGAAGAAGAUAUGAAUGACCAAAAAUAGAUGAAAAUACAAUUGGAUUAGAAGAAUUCCUUUUUUUUUUUAAUUUUAUUUCAGUGUUGUAAGCUUGGGUAUUUGUAAGAGAUGUAAAUUUAGUUGUUCCUAUGGUUGCUCUGUAUUGGGAAGUGAUAUUUCCUCAUUAUAUAUUUGCGUUGUAGUUGUGUUUCAUCUUUAAAAUAUUUAUAUAUAACUUAUAAUAGGAUCUAAAUUUGUAUGUUUAAUAAUGCCUUUUAAUUGUAUUAUUAGGUCUACUUCAUUCAAUAUAUGUAUAUCAAAGUACAGAAAAAGGGGGCCAAAUAACCCCAAAUACAAAUCUGAAGAAAAACGAUAUGAAUGUCUGACCAAAAUGAAGUCAUAUCGGAUGAAAACAUGAGGGUAGCCUUUGUAUUGUAAAACUCGGAGUCUCCGGCGGUCGUAUAUUAGUGGCCUGUGGAAAAAUAAAGACAAAAGGUGUGAAGCUAAGUGGUGAUGAGAGGGGAAAAAAGAAAUGGUGAAGACGCGUGGUUGACACUGAGGUCGUAUUUGAACUCUGAUAGAAAUCAUAACAUUUCGAGAAUGAAUUAUGAUCCACGUGUGAUAGCAUAGAAAAUUAAAAAUUGAAUUAAAUAAUGCAUUAACGCAACAAUUAUAUCUUUUUUAACACUCGUAAUAUCAAAAAUCUCAAUCUCUACUUACAAGUUAAGCAAUUAAUUGGUGGGCGUCCACCCCCACCGUGUCUUAAAACAUUAACGAGCUCCUGCUCCCCGUGCCAUUUGUCACCUUCUCAUGCUUCUUAUAUGCUUCCCCAUUGAAAUCGCCGCCGUCCUCAUCCUCAUCCUCCUCUUCCUCCACCUCCUCGCAGUUUUCUUCUUCCGACGACAGUGGCACUAGCCAACAAGUCCCAUGCAAGUGGCCGUUCACGCAAACGAAAUACUCCAACCUCCCGUCACGUGACCCGAGUCGCCGGGCGGCGCUCUUGGGAACGAGCCGAGCCGCCGUCAUGCUCCAAACUCGGGUCCCGCAGUAAGGACACCUAACCCGGUCGUCGAACGCUACUUGCCGUCCGAUCAAGCAGGCUCGUGUGUUGGACCUGAGAAAUCCCCGGAAUACCCCUCGGUAGAUCCCUAAAUCGUCUUCUUUAUCCCCCACUGGGUGCUCACACGGGUCACUGACGAACAACAGAUCCGCCCGACAUUUUUUGGUCAAGAAGCUCCGACCCGAAGUCUUCGAGAACCGAGACGCACCCGCGAAAUGACCCGGAGAAGACCGACUCAGUUUGAAAUUGCGAGUCGACUCACAACCACAACAGAAAAACAUGAGCUUCGCGAGAGCAUCCCAUCCACCACCUAUUCUUCCACUAGGUGAGCCAUUAACCAAUGCCGAUACCAUGCGAGGCGCUCGAUAUACACAGAGCUUCCGCCAUAAUAACCGUUUCGCUAUAGCUCGAAGCUUACGGUUGACUGAAGCGGUCAAACAAAGGACCUGCAAAUCCCAUUUUAUUGACUCGAAAACGAGUAACAGUACACACUCGUUGAGUAUCCCCGAGUCAUCCGACUCGGUUUCUUGACUCAGUGGAUUAAGUCUUCGUCUCUGGGCGGCACUCAUUUCUAUUAGGGGGCGGAGGAGGAUCGGGGGAUAGCGAUGGUAAUUUAAAAGCGCCUAAAUACCAGUGUCUGAAACUCGAGCGAAAGACACGUGUCCAAAUGGAAAUGGAUAGUCUAUUGCCCUAGAUCAUGGGACACGUGGUGUGAUAUCAUUGGAAAGCUUCGACGCGUGGUGGAUUUGUAUUGCGCGAUGCAGGUGAUCGAGGAUCGAGAAUAACGUCAGCUGGUAAAUUGAGAUGUCAGGAUCAGCCUCCACGUGUCCAAUGAUUUCCCCGAAAUACGAGAUAUCUUUUUCAUGCCUCGAAAAUAUCUAGAUGGCUCAAACUUCAACGUGUUGAAUACAAGUUGAGUGCUCUUUUCUUUUCCUAAAUAAAAAAUAAUUUAGUUUGAUUUUUUUGGUUAAAUAAUAUUUUAUUCUUGAAUUUAUUAUUUAUGUCUUUUUUUUAAUGGAUAAUAUUAUAACCAAAUAAAAUAACUUCAAAAAAAUCUAUACUAUAAAUUAAUAAACAUAAUGUAGAGAAAAUGAUAUGAUUGUCUAUAAGUGGUAAAAGCACCUUCUACUUUUAGAGAUAAAUUUAGAUUAAAAUUCCAACUAGAAAUGAUAAUCACAAAUCUUUAAAAAAAAUUCAUCUUUACUAAAGUAAAACGUGAUGGAUUGAUUGCUCAGGUGAAGGUGAAAUCUUCAACGGCAAAGUUUUCUGAAAUUUCACUACUUAUGUUAAAUGACAAUAAUUUCAAAUCGCACACUUUUAAUAUGGAUUUUAAUAAGUUAAAAUAUAUCAUAAAUCUUUAUACUUAAUUAAUUUAUAUAAUAUUAAGGGGAUUUUUGAAAUAAUAUGAUUUUUUUUUUACAAAAAUAAUAUGAACUUUGCAUGAAAAUCCUAAAUUUAUAUGGCGGCAUGGCGAUUGUGAAUUUAAAAUUACAGGAAUUCUAUGUUUCUUUUUAAUACAAUCAUUAUCUUGUAGUCACUCAAAAUCAAUAGCCACCUUAAUGAUUUAGGAUUCUCGUGUAUAGUCCGUGUUAUUUUGAUAAUUAAAAUUUUCAUAUUAUUUCAAUAAAUUUUUUUUUCAUAUUAUUAGAAAAGGUCAAAAAAAAAUAGCUUAAAUUAUUUUGUAAGAGGAGAAAUAGUGGUGGGAUGACACGUGGAAACAUAUUAACAGACCGCGUGUUUGCUUCCAUUUAUGAAACGAUAGCUGUUGAUAAAAAAGGAAGCGGGAAAAGGCUUAUUUGACUCGUGAUCAGCACGUGGAUUGAAGAUUCUAAUUAUGGAUUGAAGUGAUAAUUCUAAAUAAUAAUAUAUUAAAAUACAAGAAACUUAAUUAAAAAUAAUUAUAAUAUGAUACUUAUAUAAACAAUACAAUUAAUACAGAUGUGAUAUCAAUAUAUAAAUAUUUUAAAAUUUAAGAGAAAUUAUACAAAUGGUCAUUUAAUUGUACUUGCGUUCCUGUUUUGAUCACUUAGCUUUAAAAAAUUUCAAUGUAGACACUAAUAUUUAAAUUUAUUCCUAUUUUUGUCACCUGUCAUUAAAUUGUUCUAACUAGUAUAAUAACACAUUCAGUCCUUAAUAUUUACAUAUUAUAUCAAUUUGAUCUUAUUGCCAAAUCAUUCAAUAAAUAUAACUUUUUACACUUAUAAAUUCUAUCAAUUUAAUCCUCAAACUUUCUAACUAAAUGUUUCAGCUUUUAAAAUAAAAAAAAAAAACAUUCUGCAUCAAUAAAUUUGUACCAAAACAAAUUCUGCAAUAAACAAGUGGUAAAAAGCUCUAUAUUGGUAUUAAAAGUAACUCAAUAUUUUCUUUUCUAAUUUACAAUAUUCAAAUUUAAAUAUUUAAAUAUUAAAAUUUUAUCAGUUAACUAAAUAAAUAUAUGAUCUGUAUGCAACGUAAUGGAUAUCCCAUGAAAAAGGGACACCCUUUUUGUCUUAAGUACAAUUUUAUUAAUAGGGUUAUUUAAAGCUAUAUUUCUUCAAGGUUUAAUUGUGUCCAUACAACCCUUCUUAACAGGUCUCCUUAACAUUCAAAUGAAAUCUUUGAUGACUGAUUCAAUAAUCAAAAAGUUGUUGGUUGUAGAUGAGUAAUUUCGAAAAUUUGUCGAUAAAGGAAUUGGUUUGAAAAGUGCUCAUUAGUUGGUUUUAUAAAUUUAUAGACUUGUUGAAUUUUAAUUAAGAAUGUAAGUAUUGUGAACUAAAUAUGUUAUUAUACUAUUUUAAAAAUAAUUUUUUAUUAUCAAUUUAACUACGAAUGACUAAAAUAAGAGUUAAUUCAAAUAUUAGUGCCUAAAUUAAAAAAAUUUAAAGUUGAAUGACAAAGCAGGAAGUUGGAGAUCAUUUGUAUAGUUUAACUUAAAUUUCACAUUACCAAAUUUAUAUAAAUAAAAAAAUAAUAUUAAAAAAAAAGAUAUUUAUUUGUAUUUUUUUAAUGAAUUAUAAUAAUAGAAUAAAGUUCGAAUAAUAAAUGAAACUCGAACCCAUGUAACACCUAUAAUUAUUAUUAAAAACAAAAACAAGAGUGAGGAGUUAGCGAAGCUAAACUAACUUUUUAUGUUGGUUGGGAUAGGAGCAAUUUAUUACAUUAUGAGGUUCGAGCAGCUUUUCAGCAUAAAUGGGUGCCCACUCAUUUAUAGCUCAUAAAUAGAUUCUUUACCUUUUUCCGAGCUAUAAGUUAUGAUUUUGAUUUUUUUUAUUACUAGUUGAUUAACGUAAAAUAUAAAUAUAAAAAUAAUAAAAUUAAACAGUUUAGUGAUUAUUUAUAAUUAAGAGAUAAAAAAGAAUAGUUGGAUAAUCUCUACGGUAGUUUAUCCUUAAAAUAUUAAAAAAUAAUUUAUUUGACAGUUUAAUUAAUUUUUUAGUCUAGAUAAAUUAAUUUGUACCAAUUUUCAAAUUAAUUAGCUCAAAAUAAUUCGAUGAAUCAAUUUUCAAUCCAAUCAACUAACUUAGAGAAAAGUAUUAAAUUAACUGAAUUUUUAAUUCUUUUUUAUAAAAUAUAAUGAUUUAUUUAAUUGGACCAACAUAUCAAUAACUUAAUUGACCAGAAAAAUGAAUGAAUCCGAGGCAACAAACCUCUGCUAAAUUCUAUCCCAACCCUCUUAUAAUAACCCUCCGUAUGAUUGUAUCAACAAUCUUUUAUUUCUAAUUUAGCGAAAUUAUAUUGAUAUAAUUAGUGCAUAUUUUAAAUAAUAUCAAGUCAUCUUUUAAAAAAUAUAUAUUAAUUAAUUAUGAAUUGCAUCCCUUGAUUUAAAAAAAAAUUAAUAGCAAGAUUUAAUACUAUUAUUUAAUUAAACUAACAUUUCAAUUUUGGAUUAAUUUUUUAGUAAAAACUAAAAAAGGAUGGAUUUUAUAAUUAGAGCAAAAAAUGUGGGCACAGCUUCGGCAGAUCGCUUAGCCCCGUUCAUCUUCGGCGCAAGAGCGCUCGAUCAGUGAGCUAUUACGCACUCUUUCAAGGGUGGCUGCUUCUAGGCAAACCUCCUGGCUGUCUCUGCACCCCUACCUCCUUUAUCACUGAGCGGUCAUUUAGGGGCCUUAGCUGGUGAUCCGGGCUGUUUCCCUCUCGACGAUGAAGCUUAUCCCCCAUCGUCUCACUGGCCGACCUCAACCCCUAUUAUUUU